rnacentral:lncRNA from 1 species
GUGAAGGGAGUACUUUUUUUUAAACUUCAAUACAACUAUAUAUUGGGGGUGGAUCAAAGUAGAGCUACACAAGCCCUCAACGACAGGAAGAAAACAGAGCUCAUGUUCAGUUUACACGGUCGGGACGAGGAACACUGCCAGCUGCUUUUGCUUGAGAGAAGAGCGACAAGAUUUGCCUCCAUUCCCACAAUCUUCUGUUAAGAUCCGGAGAGCAAUGCAAGUACACCAACUGAUGUGUGCAUCUGCCAUCCUUGGCGAUUGGCGUGCGAUUAUUCAGUGCAUGCAGUAGCUUUGGCAACCCGUCCAUUCUGCAGCAGGAAACGCUGUCUGACAGUCUGAGCAGAUCCGAUCCUCGAUCGGACGGCGCGACGCAACCGUCCAUGGAAUGGAAGCUUCUGGCGUGAGAGCUAGUAUCUCGAGCGGAAUCAUAGGCACCAGCAAGGCAUCAAGUGAGUUGUCGUGCUGUUGCUGAUGCUCUCAUCAGUUCAGUUCAGUUCAGUUGAGGAUAUUCGUCUGUUCGUCAUGCAGUGAGCUCCGAUAUGAUCCAGAAUAAUGGCAGCUGAGCUGAGAGGCUCAUCAUCAUCAUCAGCUGGAUUGAUAAGAAAAUUGCUGCGGCGACCUCGGAUCGGCGGCAGUCGUUGACAUUUGCGAAAUGAUUGAGACCUGAGAGUGUAUGACGCGUGCAACGGCCGUCGUUGUCUAGCUGAAGCUGAACUCCCUUUUUUUCAGGUAGGUAAUGAGGUAAUCCGAUGAACUUGAACUCCUGACAGCUAGCGUCCAUAUAAAUGAAAAAAUAGAUACCCGCCCAUUCACACGAAGAAUAUAUAUUCAGCGAGACUUUAAUAUUAGGUUAUCAUCCCUUGACAUAACCAUUGGAGUAUGUAUCUUUGAAUAAUCUGAAAGAGUGUUUGCUGCUCUGUCAAGCAGUUGAAUCGGCUGAGGUUAUCGAGUUCGUCUUCAAGCUUGUAGCUCUGGACAAUCCAAAACGUAACGCAACCGUCAUAUCAUUUGUUGUUCGCUGCAUGUAGUUUUUGUUUUAAUCUCGUGCUCUUCUGACUUUUGGGCGUUCACAGCUGACAAAAAUCUGGCCUUAAAACAUAUAUACAGACUCAUGUAUCUUGGAUGCACAUACUAAGCAGGGACCAUGCGUACUAGAAGAAUGCUCCGUGCUUUGUGAUUAUUCUGCUCAAAAUACAUGGGCUCUAAAAAAAGCAAAGUUUCUUGGACAGUGCAGUGUUGUGUACUCUUAAUGUUUGUUGUGUUGUUAUUACUCCAGCAACAAGGCAACAAAUUUCCUCGAAAAAAAAAGGCAACAAAGAUAAAAUCCGUUAGGUUUUUUUUUUUGAGAAUCUCAAACUUUAUUAACUAGUCUGAGAAUAAGAAGUACACACGUCCUUCGGCGCACUGAUAAGCCAAACAUAUCUAUCAAUUGUCUCAUACAGGGAGCCUCUUGCUAGAGCAUCCCCAUUAGCAUCCGACCUUCAUGAACAAACUCAACUGAAAGUGAAACUAUCUCCUCGUGCCUUGAUAUCUUGAAUUACAUGGCCAUAAGAUCCAAAGCCUUUGCCUCGGAUAUUUCUAACAACAGUGAUAUUAUCAUAAGCCACCCUAAUUUUUUGUAGCAACAAAUCUGAUGCGAGCGCAAGGCUCUCUCUACACGCUACUGCCUCCAUGAUUUCAGGAUUAGAAAUACCUUCAGUUACUACAACUGAAGCUCCAACAAACAUGCCUGAGGAGUCUCUUGCCACUACCGAAGCUGAUGCCUUGCUCGAAUUCUUCGAUAUGGCAGCAUCGACAUUUAUUUUCAUGAUGCCCGCUGGCGGAGGGAUCCAUGGUGCCUCUUGUACAUUCUGGUGUUGAUGACUUGCCCCUAGAGGAGCUGACUGUUUCACAAGUUCCAGAUCCGACAUGAAACUCUUAACAAAACAGUGCGUGGAUAGAGAAAUUCUCAUAAACAACUUGUCUCUUCGCGUACCAAUAGCCCACAAAGUAACUAGUACCCGUGUAAGAUCUUCAUGCUUCAAGAUAGUUAUUAUAGUAUGUAACCAACCUCGAGCAUCCUGAACUGGUAUGGUGCAUAAAUGUUCAGUGAUAUCCUCCCUUUCCAAAGCCUAUACACACUUUGCCAUAUGACAGUUUAUCAAAGAAUGUUUCCAUGAGUCCAAAGCCCUGCAAAUGGCAUAAGUGCUUUGUGCCUUCAAAUUCCUAUGAUGCAAGACAUCCCCACAAGGAAGAGAUUGUCUAGCUAAUCUCCACAGGAACACCUUAAUCUUCGACGGCACCUGGACAUGCCACAACACAGUCCAUUCCUUCUCGUCUGCCUUAGUGCUUGAUCUUCCCGCCACACUAUCAGAGCAGGCCGUUAUAUUAUUUUUCCUGAGUACUAGCAUCCUAUAAGCUGAACGGACUGUGAAUAUGCCAUUUUUUUAUCAAAUCCGUUAGUAAAAAGAAAAGCAUAAAUUUCGUACCCGCUAGGCCCAUGCGAUAAAUUAUUGAACGAUGUGAUGUGCUGAGCGCUAAAUUCCCGGCCCCGUUUCCCGCAGGGUGGGCACACUGGGCCGUUUAAGGAAGAUAGCCUAGCCUCCUGAAAGGGUUUGGGCCGCUUGUGGGCUGUGCCACUGGCCAGUCUGAGAUCAUUUCCAACGCUCCCAUCCAAAAAAACACCGGACUUCCCUUAAAAAGAAAAAAAAUCCAAAGAACACCGGAUCUCUCUCUCUCUCUCUCUCUCUCUCUCUCUAUAUAUAUAUAUAUAUAUAUAUAUAUAUAUAUAUAUAUAUAUAUAUAUAUCUUAGUUUUCUGAAUUUUGAAAUGAUUUCAGACAAUAUUCUUGUACUACCAACUAGUCCAAGUGAAUUUUUACUUUGGUAAUUUGUUACUUAUCUUUGUGUCAUAACAUAUUAAAUUUUUAUCCUUACUUAUAGAAAAUAAUUAUAAAUUGUUAAUUAUCUUUGUGCCAAAACAAAUAAGAUAUCUCGAGUUUGUGGUUUUGUCUAAUAGUUUUUUUAAUUCUUGGAAAAUUGCAGAUUGCACCUACACACAUUGCAAUGAAUGAAAUCGGCAUUCAGCAAAAAAAAAAAACUAAUAUAACCAUCGCCCGUCGUCUGAAAUGAAAAUAAAAUUAAGGCACCUAAAUUUUAGCAAAUUUCCUUUUUUCCCCUAAAAUAAAAUUCAGGCACCUGAAUUUUAGCAAAAUUUUCUCCCCCCCUAAUAUAAAAGGAAAUAAGAAAGGACCUUUUUUGAGGGAAAAAUAACAUGAAUACGUUCCCUCUCUUUUUGUGCUUGUCUUCGGCCGUGCCUCGUGCUUUUUCCCCUUUCUUGCAUAGUCCCUUCGUCCCCAAAUACUACUAUUUCUAGCAUAUUUCAGACAGAUUAGUGUGGCAAACAAAAGACCAUUCUAUCCUCAAUUAAUUUAGGUUCCACCAUUUAAUUAUGCACGUUAAGCCAUGGUUCUCUGGUUCCAACGAGCUGUAUUUAAUGCAAACUAAACAGACUAGAUCAAUUACCAUGCGUCAAAGUACUACUCCCUAGAAGAAAUUAAAUAGGUUGGUGGACUAUGAAAGUUCCAAGGAGAAAUUAAAUGAGCUGGUGGAGUGAGUAUGUUAGUAGAAAUAACAGUAUUUGUGGAUAAAAUAUUCUUCUAGAAAUAGCAGUAUUUAGGGACGUAGAGAGUACAUAUACACGGGAGUCGAAUUUGUUGAUGCCUAUAACAUUAUCUUUAACCAUCAUCACCCAAAAUACAAGACUAAUUUGUUUUUUUGGGUAGCGCUAUAGAUAAAAGGUUUCAUACCUACUUUUAGUCUUCUCCGUCAACAAGAUCUUAAAAAAAAAAACACUUUCUAUAAAUGGGUCUCAGGGAGAGAUGAUAUCUUAAAUUUGAGUUAUGCCUCUCAUAAUACAUAAAUGGUUAUUUUGUAUGAAUACUUUUUUAGAGACUAUAGGUAUUGUGUUGGAGAUAUAUUUUAUUUUAUAUCCGGUUAGAGACAGCCUAAUGUAAGCGGUCUCGGCACGGACUCUUUAGGUACAAACAAGUACAUUCAGAUGACGAGGGAAGCAUGUUUGUGCACGAUUCUUUGUCAUAAAAAAACAUGUUAUAUUUUUAUUUUAGAAAACACGUGAUAAUUAAUGAAUGUAUUUAAGAGUGACUAUUAUUUCAGCCGCAGUACCUUCGAAAAAUGAGAGAGAAAAGGCGAACCUUUGUGAUAUGUAGAUUUCAUUUUGGGAGACGAAGUGAUUCGGCCUUGUUUACUUCCAAAUUUUUUUGCAAAAUAUAAAUAAUAGAUUUUUGUUUGUAUUUGACAAAUAUUGUCCAAUUAUGGACUAACUAGGCUCAAAAGAUUCGUCUCGUCAAUUCCGACCAAACUGUGCAAUUAGUUUUUAUUUUUAUCUAUAUUUAAUACUUCAUGCAUACGUCUAAAGAUUUGAUGUGACAGAAAAUCUGAAAAAAUUUGCAAAAUUUUUAGGUACUAAACAAGGCCGUACUAUGUUUGCCGCUUCUAAUUAAUCCAGCUAUCUCUUUGGAUGACAAGCGAUGCGUCCAUCACCGGCGAGUUGAUCACUCUGACUUUAUUUAACCUAAAGAUUUAUUACUACUAGCCUAGUUAGAAUUGGCGUGCUCGGCGUGUGCAAGUAUAUUCAAACUACGUAUAUUAGUCUGAAAACAUGUGUCUUUGAAUUGUGCAAGUACGUUUUCUGCCAACUAAUAUAUACAAUGCUUUUAUAAGUUUUAUUUAAGAAUACAUUAAUUAACUAGUACUAGAGAGGCUAACGAAGUCUUUCAUAUCCCUCACUUAAACCAGUCAGGACAACUUCUUAAUUUGUGAGAUUAACGGUGGGCCCAGUUCCUGAUUGGCUAACCUCUUGCUCGCAUACUGGCCAGAAAAUUUAUCAUAUUUUCAGAUAAAGGUCUUGUUUAGUUCCUAAAAAUUUUCAAGAUUUUUCAUCAUAUCGAAUCUUUGGAUGCAUACAGCUCUGUUCGUUUGGCUGAUAAGCCAUGGUUGAAAGUACUGUUCGUUUAUUUGUCGUAAGAAAAAAAACACUACUAAAUGAUUGAUAGAUUUAGCAGAUAAUAUAAACAAAAGUGAUACAAUAGUUGAAUCUAAAAUUUUUCGGGAACUAAACAAGGUCAAAUUUGAACGUUGAAAAUCCUUGUACUUGUGGACUGAUGGAGUAGUUUUGUAAAGUUGAACACCUGUAGAGCAGCUGCAACAUGUGAAUGUUAAACUUCGUGGGUGUAUAGUUUUCCGAUCAACAGCCAUCCUAAUGCACGCUGGCCCAUUAAUCCUAAUUCCUUUCCAUCAUGGAUCUGCGAUUAUGCUCAUAAGUAAACUAAUAUCUGGUGUCGUAUGAACCCAACUGCUGCUGCCUAUUUUACACAGGGAUAGUCAAAGUCAACCAAUAAGGAGAAAGCAAUAGGAGUACCGAAUGGUACACAACGCAAGGCCUUGUUUAGUUCCUCACAAUUUUUAUAAAAUUUUUUAGAUUCUCCAUUACAUCAAAUCUUGCGACACAUGUAUGAAAGAUUAAAUAUAGAUUAAAAAAAUUAAUUGUACAUUUUAAUUGUAAUUUAUGAGACAAAUCUUUUAAACCUAAUUAGUUCAUGAUUCAAUAAUAUUUAUCAAAUACAAACGAAAAUAUUACUAUGCUUAUUUUGCAAAACCUUGUUUAGUUCCAAAAUUUUUUGCAAAACAGGUACUGUAGCACUUUCGUUUGUUUGUGACAAAUAUUAUCCAAACAUGGACUAACUAGGCUCAAAAGAUUCAUCUCAUCAAUUCCGACCAAACUAUAUAAUUAGUUUUUAUUUUUGUCUAUAUUUAAUACUCCAUGCAUGCGUCUAAAGAUUCGAUGUGAUGGGGAAUCUGAAAAAUUUUGCAAAAUUUUUUGGGAAGUAAACAAGGCCUUAAUGCAGAGGGAAAAAAGAAAGAAAGCAAAAGAAGGCAUCAAUGAGGAGGGUGAGCGUGUCUAUCUAUUCUAAGCCGCCCAUGUUGACCUUGACUCACCCACAACCAGCCGAGCCCAGAACCGGGUCAAGGCCCACCAGCAAGGCACUAUCCCAUCAUCAUCAUCAGGGCCGUCGAUUACCUGCCUUGGACGGCGGCGAUUGCUCCAUUGAUGAUAUACGCCUACAGCAGUGCCAUCGCCGUGCUGCUUCCGUAAAGCGCCGCAUUUACAAGACCUGGUCCUGAGCGUACAGAGCAUAUCAAAUGCAUCAUCAUCGUCUGGAGCUGAUGCACCUGAAGAGAGAGAUGAGAUCCCUGAGGAUUUCGUCAGAUGCGAAGUGGAAAGUUGUUCGUCUCCUGUGGUCGAAAUCGAAACUCGUCAGCAGCUGGAAGGAAGCUGCAGCAGUCAAGUCAACCAUGACAUGAGCCAUCCCGGUAAAAACUAAGGCCUUGUUUACUUUUCAGAAAAAUUUGCAAAAUUUUUCACAUUCCCUGUCACAUCGAAUCUUUAGACGUAUGCAUUGAGUAUUAAAUAUAGACGAAAAUAAAAACUAAUUGCACAGUUUGGUCGAAAUUGACGAGACGAAUCUUUUCAGUCUAGUUAGUCCAUGAUUGGACAAUAUUUGUCAAAUACAAACGAAAGUGCUACAGUGUCCAUUUCCCAAAAUUUUUCGGAACUAAACAAGGCCUAAAAAGAAGCAUGGCUUAAUGGACUGUCAACGCUGUCGACAACGAACGGGAGGUUUGAUCUCACAUUUUGACCCGACAAUUAUGCCGUUCCUCUGUUGUGUUGUUUCUACGGGAGUCCUAGUAAUUUCAGUUGUGGUUUUCUUCGAGUGUGCGUCACUGUCAGUCAGUCACUAGCGCUCUACUACACGCUUGGACAUUUUCCAAGCUCCAUCUAUGGACUAUUGGUAGCCUCACUUCUACCAGUAUACAAUUUUCUUCUCUGUCUCGCCCGGUCCCGGUCUCCUCCCCUGCCUGUUCUACCACUACCAGUCCUCCCACAUCCUUCCUCCCCCUCUUGCCAAGACCAAGAUUCACGCGAAAUAAACCUUACAAUUGCAGAGGAGAAGAGAAGACGCCAUGGCACAUGCGAGAAGGUGGAGCUGCGGUUGGCUGCCUUGAUGACUAGCUAGCUGCCUCUCCGUCUGCCAUCGGCCAUCUCCAUCGGAGAAACACAAAGGAUUAAACGAAUCAGAGGAGCCAGACGCCCCCCCGAAUCGCCGGAAAAGAUCAAGAUGCGGCCUUUGCGGCGAAGCUCCGGGGAUCUUGCGGCCUUCGGCUGCUGCCUCUUCCUCCUCCUCCCGCUGCUGUCCCGCGGCGCCGACAUGCCGGUGGGUUCGACCCUGUCGCCGGGCAACUCGGCGACGUGGACGUCGCCCAACAGCACCUUCUCGCUCGGCUUCACGGCGUCCGCGUCCUCCCCGUCGCUCUUCGUCGCCGCCAUCUCCUACGCCGGCGGAGUGCCCGUCUGGUCCGCGGGCGAUGGCGCCGCCGUUGACUCGAGGGGCUCGCUCCGCCUCUCGUCCAACGGCGACCUCCAGCUCGUCAACGGCUCCGGUACCGUGCUCUGGUCGACCAACACGGGGGGUCAGAACGUGUCCGCCGCGGCCGUCCAGGAGAGCGGCAACCUCGUGCUCAAGGACUCCCGCGGCGCCACGCUGUGGCAGUCGUUCGACCACCCCACCGACACGGUGGUGAUGUCGCAGAACUUCACCUCCGGGAUGAACCUCACCUCGGGCUCCUACGUCUUCUCCGUCGACAAGGCCACGGGCAACCUCACGCUCCGGUGGACCAGCGCCGCCACCACCGUCACCUACUUCAACAAGGGGUACAACACCUCCUUCACGGGGAACAAGACGCUGACCUCGCCCACGCUCACGAUGCAGACCAACGGCAUCGUCUCCCUCACCGACGGCACCCUCACCUCCCCCGUCGUCGUCGCCUACAGCAGCAACUACGGCGAGAGCGGCGACAUGAUGCGGUUCGUCCGCCUCGACGCGGACGGCAACUUCCGCGCCUACAGCGCCGCCCGGGGCAGCAACACCGCCACGGAGCAGUGGUCGGCGGUGGCGGACCAGUGCCAGGUGUUCGGCUACUGCGGCAACAUGGGCGUGUGCAGCUACAACGGCACGGCGCCGGUGUGCGGGUGCCCGUCGCAGAACUUCCAGCUCACCGACGCUUCCAAGCCGCGCGGCGGGUGCACGCGCAAGGCCGACCUCGCCAGCUGCCCCGGCAACUCCACCAUGCUCCAGCUCGACAACACGCAGUUCCUCACCUACCCGCCGGAGAUCACCACGGAGCAGUUCUUCGUCGGAAUCACCGCCUGCCGCCUCAACUGCCUCUCGGGAAGCUCCUGCGUCGCGUCCACCGCGCUCUCCGACGGCUCGGGCCUCUGCUUCCUCAAGGUCUCCAACUUCGUGAGCGGCUACCAGUCGGCCGCGCUGCCCAGCACGUCUUUCGUCAAGGUCUGCUACCCGCCGCAGCCCAACCCGGUCCCGGGCAGCACCACAGGCGCGCCGUCGCGGGGCGGCCCCGGCGUCCGCGCCUGGGUCGUCGCGGUCGUGGUCCUGGCCGUGGUCUCCGGUCUGGUGCUCUGCGAGUGGGCGCUCUGGUGGUUCUUCUGCCGGCACAGCCCCAAGUUCGGUCCGGCGUCGGCGCAGUACGCGCUGCUGGAGUACGCGUCGGGCGCGCCGGUGCAGUUCUCGUACCGCGAGAUGCAGCGGUCCACCAAGGGGUUCAAGGAGAAGCUGGGCGCCGGCGGGUUCGGCGCCGUGUACCGCGGCGUGCUGGCGAACCGGACGGUGGUGGCGGUGAAGCAGCUGGAGGGGAUCGAGCAGGGGGAGAAGCAGUUCCGGAUGGAGGUGGCCACCAUCAGCAGCACGCACCACCUCAACCUGGUCCGCCUCAUCGGCUUCUGCUCCGAGGGCCGGCACCGGCUGCUGGUGUACGAGUUCAUGAAGAACGGGUCGCUGGACGCGUUCCUCUUCGGCGGCGACCGCGACGCGCCGCCGCCGGGCGGGAAGAUGCCGUGGCCGACGCGGUUCGCGGUGGCCGUCGGCACGGCACGGGGCAUCACGUACCUGCACGAGGAGUGCCGCGACUGCAUCGUGCACUGCGACAUCAAGCCCGAGAACAUCCUCCUGGACGAGCACUUCAACGCCAAGGUGUCCGACUUCGGGCUGGCCAAGCUGGUGAACCCCAAGGACCACCGCCACCGGACGCUCACCAGCGUGCGCGGCACCAGGGGUUACCUGGCGCCGGAGUGGCUCGCCAACCUGCCGAUCACGGCCAAGUCCGACGUGUACAGCUACGGGAUGGUGCUGCUGGAGACCGUCAGUGGCCGCCGCAACUUCGACGUGUCGGAGGAGACCGGCAGGAAGAAGUUCUCGGUGUGGGCGUACGAGGAGUACGAGAGGGGAAACCUCGCCGGCAUCGUCGACAGGAGGCUCCCCGCGGAGGACCUCGACAUGGCGCAGGUGGAGCGCGCUGUGCAGGUGAGCUUCUGGUGCAUCCAGGAGCAGCCGGCGCAGCGCCCGUCCAUGGGGAAGGUGGUGCAGAUGCUGGAAGGGGUCAUGGAGCUGGAGAGGCCGCCGCCCCCGAAGUCGUCCGACAGUUUUCUGAGCACCACCACGGCCACCAGUGCCGUCAGCUCCAGCAUGGUCUCGACGGUCGUCUCGUCGGGGGCUCCGGUCGCGCCCGCGCCAUCGCCCACCCUGGAGCAGGAGAUGGCGCUGGGCCGCUCCGAGUCGGCCAGGAACCGUGAGCGCGUGUCGCGGCAGCUGCUGUCGCCGCAGCCGUACAUGACGAUGUGAAAAGGCGCGUGUGCGUCAUCCUCAUCCGAUCCAUGGCAGAGAUCAUCAUCAUCCGGCGAACUGGAUAGCAAAGCAAAAUGAUCACACGCAGGCAUCCAUUCCCAGGAAGAGGAAAAUGUACAGAUUUGUAGAGCGGUUAGGGAAUCGACGAUAUGAUUUGCUCUAAGCUCUGGCUGGCGAACCUUGGCGGCAGAACAAACUGAUCUUUCACUGGUACUGUGGCUUCCAUAUGGCAAUACUAUGUAAUUGUAAGCUUCAAAUUCAGAUCGAGCUUGAUGUUGAGCAAUGCAAUUUGUACAAAAUAACCGGCAUAUUUUAGUAUGGACUGUUUGUUUCAAAAACUGAUGCAGUAGUUUUUUUAAUAACAAUUUUGUUUACCUCAUCAAGGGAAGUUCAGAGCAGCUCUUGAGGCAAAUAGAUUGUAUCAUAAAUAAAUUCAUAAUAAUAAUGCGGAGCUGUUAGAGAGUUUGACUAUCAGUACUGAAUAUUGUUGCACUUCUCCUUUUUGUUUUUCUAGAGAAAAACUGUUUUGGGUCUCCUGUGUUUCUCGUCUCAUCAGUCACUACUCACCAGUCGCCACACUGCCAGGGGAUCAUUCAGCGAAACAUCUCGGUCAGCUUCUGUGCGGUUCAAUGCUAGGGGGAUCAAGAUGCAUCUUGCGCCAAGUUGUCAAAGCAAGUGGCUUGGCCUGGCCACUUGCUUUUCAGAUCGAACCCUAAUUCAGGGCUACGAUCUGAUUGGAACGUACUGCAAACUGCCAAGCCAUUGGCCAAAGACCAAUAGAGUACGCUGGCGUGUUUAAUUCAGAUUCAGAUAGGGAAAGAGUAGGUCUGGUGCAUUUGCCAUUUGGUAAUUUCAGAGUCCUUGCUCUGCGCACGUGCUCUGAGAAAUGUUGUCUCGCCCAACAAACAAACAGGAAUGUUCAUUUCGCCACCCAGGUUUCUAACUUAUAAAUUAAAGUUAACUUAAAUGACAGAAAUGGUUCCAUAGUGUAGUGGUUAGCACUCCAGACUUUGAAUCUGGCGACCUGGGUUCGAAUCCCGGUGGGACCUUUUAAUUUCCCAUUAAUUUUUUUUUGGUCUUUAAAAUUCACGUUCUGAUUAGCUGGUUUCUCAUACAGACCCGCCAUGCUACUAGCCAAAUUAGCACCAAAAAAAAUUGACACAUUAAGACCAAUGUAAUGUAAUGUAAAACGUGCCGACUGAAACUGCUACUGGAUGGUAACCUUCUCUUUUCCGUGUCAAAACAAAAGGGCCAGGUCAACUUACAUCAUCACUAACAAAGUAGGCGACCAAACUGUGAAGUGUCAACACCACAGUUUAACCCAGCGAUGACCACCUGCUUUGAAAGGCAAGGCUGACUCAAACACGAAAUUGCACACCCGUUCUGCGUUUAGUGGCUAGACUUUGUCAAAUCCACGGAUCAAUUUGACCGCAACAAAGCUGUUAGUAUUGUCAACAGUUCUAGAUACGCAGUAGCCAAGAGUCGUGAUUACUGACACAAGAAAACCUGUUGCCUGCUGGUGGCUUGCCUUCAGGGUUGGCCGGUGUAUCGCACUUUUCUGUACACAAUUUGCGGGGUCUUUUGUCGGAAUGCUUCCAGAUCACCUCCGAAGAAGGGAAAGAGUUGAGCUAAUAAUGAGAGACCAUAUCUUUUGUUCAAAGCUAAUCUAGUAUUCCACCCAGUUGACAUCCAAAUCCUUCAGCUUCAGGAGCCAUUUCUGGGCAUCUGGGGAAACAUUGCCUUUAUCAGGUUUCACCCCGUGCUUCUUUGUCAUCUCAGAUGGGGAUUCAGACCGGCUCUCGUCAUCCAAGUCGCCUUGCCUUCUAGGACGUCUUAGUUUAAGAGAGAGAAGGCGUGAAACCUCCUGCACCCCACCCCAUUUUUCCAAUGCCCGAGCAAUGUCGUAACGACCUACCAACAGAGCAUGAAAAUCAUUUCAAAAGCCAGACAAGGAAACUUCAUGACACGACACCAAUCUAACUUGCACAUCUAACCUGACAACAGGAGCCAAUUUUCUGUUUUUCAUGUAAUGAUGGUAUAAAGCUAAAGACAUUUGUGCUAAAAUGGAUAAAACAGCAGCAUGAAAGUGCCACAAUACUUUUUUUUAAAAAAAAAAAUCAACAAUGGGCUACAGAUAAUACCUGCCCUCUCAAAAGAUUUUCUACUUGGCAUAUAAGAAGGAUCCAUCCCCCAACUUUUCUGGAACCGGCUGAUCUGUAUAUAGUGAUCAGAUGCUGAUGUCAGAAGUUGAAGAAAAAUGUUGAAUACAGCAUAUGACGUUAUAAAAUUCAAUGGAUAUAGUCACCGAGUGCUAGCUUUCAUUCAUACUAGAAAUAUAAGGGGACAGUUUUAACUCUGUUUGCAAUAUAUGGUGCAAAACUAUUCAAAGAGUAAAAACAUGGUUAUACCUGUAUUCUUGUGCUAGAAUGGAUAUCUGAUAAGCACAGAGGAGGGAGCUAAAGAUAUAUAGUGUUACCUCUUCUUGCAAGUUCUCCAGAUUAUCCCAAUAGCCUCUUGGUUUUCGAUUUUUGUAAGAAAGAGAAAGGUUCAUUAUGCUGGCAAUCUUCCGGAACCCACCCAUUCGUGUUAUUGCCUUCUCGAUAUCCACCCUUCCAUGAGACCGGAGAUGCUUUCUCUUAGGCAUGAAACCAUACUGACCAUAUUCUGCAAUGAAAUUCUCAAGCUCUGAUUUUAGGACCUCAAUGUCCUUUUGCAACCCUGGGACUUUUGGUCUCUGCUUCAUGGUACUGGAUGAGCAAGACACAGAUGCUUGCUCAGAUUGCCUGCUUUCAGCAUGAUAAGCAUCUGGGUCUAUGGACACAUCAGAAUGAGCUGUGGAGUUGCUACCCUUGGCUCCAGCCUUUUCAAUAUAAUCACGGAUUGCACACAAGUUUGAUGGAAGAUCUUCAUAUAUGACCUGUAACAGAUUGAUGAAAAUGAACAGUCUGCUUUACUAUCUCUAAAGACAUUAAACUUUAUCAAAGCAUUCAGCUGAAAUAAUCAUCAAGGCACCACAUAUAAUUAAUCCAAGUAAGAGCACAAAAAAAUCAGCCUAUUGUCAAAAGCAAGUAAAAAAUGUCAGAAACCAUGAUAAAAACUUUUGGUGUCCUAACUGCUACAGAAUGUAGUCACCUGGAAUUUGAAGAGCUGAAGAUACAACAUGACUUGUAAAACAAAUGCUGUUAAAAUAGCUUCAAGUUUUUAAUUUGAAUAUUUGAGAAGCGUAAGCCACCAAGAAAAUGGAAAACCGAUCCCUAUUAGGUUCUUUAGAGAUAAUUAAGUUUAAACCAACCAAAUACGAAAAUUUAACUAUACUAAGCUUAUACCAUUUGAGAAGGCAUGAAGUAUAUACCCAUUACCAUGCAAAGCACUUUACAGUGUGCACAUAAAAGCCUACUUUAACCAUCUUAAGCUAACAAGUGAAAUGUUAUAUGAAUUAAAGAAAAUGCAUAUGUGGCUUACCUCUUCAAGGAUAGACUCAGAGAGAAAGGUGUCCCUAUGCAUCUUAGUCUCAACCAUGUACUUCAACAGGGUGUGCUGAUCCCCAAGUUGUUCUAAGCGCCAUUUCCCUUUAAACGAGUAAAAAUCACCCUCAACUUGUUCAAACCUGAUCUCUUGCUCAAAUUUUUCACGAAGAUCCAUAACAACACGGGCAUGAAGGACCAUAUACAGCAGGCCUUUGCAACCCUCCUAGAAAAACGAUUGCAAAAGAUAUAAUGCUUGAAAAAGGAAACGAAGACUAUCAGACUGAAUAUACAGAACUUUCUUUCAGAUGAGCACCAUGAAAACAAUCGAGUGAACCGAAACCAGGAUGCAAGAGAAAACUGUGUAUGACUUGAGGACUUUUUUAUGCUGUGUAGUAAAAAAAAGGACAACCUAAGCCUACUUCAUAUGUUCUAGUAAAAACAGUUAACCACAAAAUAUGACAGAAGAGAACCACAUAUUCUACCUGCAUUAUGCGGACCUUGUUAUUAUCACGAAGAACAAUCCUACUGAUAGCCAGGUUUGGUACGAAUCUAUCAAAUGAUUUUUGUUAGAUCAUACCUGUAAUAAAAUAAGAAUGUGAACUCAAAAGAAUGUAGAAGAUAGAACUACUUACUCGGGCAAAUUCUCAUAUGCUGUGAGAACAUUCCAUACCUCCCGAACUGGUGCUUUCACAGUGAUACUAGCAAAAACACACCUAUGAGCCCCCUCAUGUUCCUUCAUGCACACGUAUCACAAGAUAAGACAAAACUUUAAUGCCCUUCCCUUGAUGGCUAAGAAUCCAAUAAGUAAUGAUAUAAGUUUAGUAAAUUACCAACAUGCCAUCAAAUCUUCGAAGAUGGAUCUCAUCUACCACGCAAGGCCUAUCAAUUCUGCAUACAUUUCCAUAUACACCCCAUUUGCUAAUCAAUUCAGAAGCAGGUGAUGGAAGCACACUGUUAACACCAGAAGUGGGAGGUGCUUCUUUAAAUUUACUAGAAGAAGUAUCAACUGUCCUACUACGGAAGUUAUCAAGCUGAGAAGAAGUAGAUGAUGGCUUCAAGUCCUCAACAGAGAAUUUUCUCGAACCACAACUUUGAUUUUCCAGAUAAAUCUUUUCAGCUCUACAAGCCAAGGCACCAAGAUUUACAGGAAGAUCUGACCUUAUAAUCUUUUCAAGAAAUAUAGCCGGGAAGUUAAAUCUUGGUAUCACAUUAACUUCAUACAGCAAAACUGCACUAGAGGACCUGAUAGCAGACAAAAGCAAAAUAGGGCAUAUUAGACUUAAUCUUUUUUUUCGCUCACAAGAAGUAGGAGAGCUUCACGGGGUUGAAAAGAUAAGCUAGUGAUGAACUUAAGCUGGAUGUUCAUCAAAAGAAAAUCAAUAAUAAGGUAGUAUACUACUAUAUAAGAUACAUAUAUUUAUGUCUUUAUUGGUUUACCUCCCAUCCCACUUAUCUGAGCAAAGAAAAAUGAUCACCAGAUGCAUACCUUGGACCAGAUCUUAUGGACCAUUUUCCUUCAAACUUCUUGAAGUCACCAUCUACCAUCGAGAAAUGGAGUUCUCGCCCAUUAAUCUGAAAGCAUAAUCAUGAACGAAUAAUCAAGUAAGGCAAUAUAACUUAAUAUAGAAUAGAAAAUGGAGGAGAUCCAUCAUCGUUUUUCAGAUUUGCUAAAUCUAACUCAUACAACUAAGAAAUAUAUCAGAGAGAAACACAAUAGCGUAGCUCCACAGCAAGAAGAACAACACAUGCUGCAAAAACAUAAAUGUUGCAUUCACACUCUCGUGGACUGGCCAACUGAUCAUCCACUAGUACUUUUCAGUGGCAUUUCACAUAAUGACAUAACAUUGUCGCCUUGUCGGUGAUGUCAAAUGUUGGAUACUCCAAAACUGUUCCAUUGCAAUUUAGCAGUUAUAAUGGAAGUCAAUCUGCGACAGCACGUACGGAGUCAUGGAUUUCCUGGAGAUCCAACACGACACGCGCCUCAAUGUGCCAGUACAACGCUUGCUGCAGGCCUCUCUGCUCCAGCCAUAUCCGCCCUUCAUGCGGGCACGGAAUCGUCCCACUGCAAGCAGGCACGAACAAAAUCACCCCACCUUCAGAAUGCGGGCUUGAUGAGGGCACCAUCAGUGCAAUCACAGCUCAGAAGCGACAAAUCGAGACGAGAAAAAUGCAGACCUCUGGACGAGGUUGGGGAUGAAGUCGGCGAGGCGCUCGUAGUCGGUGAUGACCUGCCAGAGGGUGUCGACGUCGGCGGCCACAGGCACGGACGCGAGCACCCGCCGCUCCCGCCACGACACCACGUCGACGUCGCACUUGACGCCGCGCGCCGACGCGGGGGACCCGGCCUCCGACGCGCCCGCGCGUCCUCCGUGGUAGUGCUGGUGGUCGGCGCCCCAGUGGUCCCCUGUGGCGGCCGCGGCCGAGGCGGCGACGGAGCGCCCGGAAGGGGCCCGCGAGAGCGCGGCCGGCGCGGAACGGAGAGCCCCGCGCGCGCGAGGGCUAGGGCUCGGGAUCCCCGGGAGGAAGGAGGCGGUGGGCGAGGCGAGAGCUCUCAUCGCUCGUGCGCUCGAGUCGAGCGGGAGAGUGUACUUGCCCACUGGGAGUCGUGUCGAGGAAGGAGACGGAGACGCGCGUGGUGACCGGAGCCGUUGCCUCUGGCUCUCGCUGUCUCGAAGGACCGCCGGAGUCUCUGCUGAGUGGGACCAGUGGUAUGGUCCCACGUGUCGGUGGCGUGGCUUGGGUCGACGGCGACGAGCGAUUGUUUCUGUUGCGACGGUGAGAGGCGAGCGGGGGAUGUGUGGCGGGAAGGCGAGGUGGCACCGUAGCCACUCGUGGCGCGUGGGGACGGGCCCCACGUGUCAGUAUUGUCAAGUUGGAUGAAUCUUCUGUGGGGUUGGGAUGUCAGUGCGUGUGCAGUCCAGGCUCCCAUGUGUGGUGACUGGUGAGCGGGCAGCGGGCCGACGUGGCCCGUCCUGCGCCUCCCGCGCGGCGAAAUCUUGGUUUUUUUUGAGAGGAUGCGGCGAAAUCUUGGGCCCAGUUAGCAAAAUGUUGGUAAUACUUUUGUUUUUAUUUGACAAAUAUUAUUUAAUUAUAGAUUAGCUAAACUUAAAAUAUUUAUCUCAUAAUUUACAGGCAAACUGUAUAAUUAGUUUUUGUUUUCAUUUAUAUUUAAUGCUUCAUGCAUAUACCGUAAGAUUCGAUGUGAUGAGAAAACUUAAAAUUUUUUGAAAACUAAACAAGGCCUUAGUUCACCCCAAAAACAAAAAAACUUUUCAAAAUUCUUCGUCACAUCGAAUCUUGCGGUACAUGCAUGGUGCAUUAAAUAUAGAUGAAAACAAAAACUAAUUGUACAGUUUACAGGUAAAUCGCGAGAUAAAUCUUUUGAGCUUAGUUACUCCAAACAAUAUUUGCUAAAUAAAAACGAUAAUGCUACAGUAUCCGAAAUCCAAACGACCAGGCCCAGUCGCUGCUUAGCACGCAAUGGACCGACCGACGGACAUCGGGCUGGGUCGUCCAGUUGCAAACAUAAACCGGCCAAAUCUGGAGGCCCAGCCAAAACAAUUCUACACCGCAAGUUAAAAUUGAGCAGAAAAAAUAUACUAAACAAUGUUCAAUAUCAUCUAGUACUAUAUUUAAAAUUAUAAAAUACUGAACAAUAUUGAAACGUGAAAACUGAACGAUACUGAAUUCUGUUGUGUGCCUUGUGUGUGCAUAGUACUCCGUGCUAAUUAUUGCUUGUAAUAAUGGAAAAACACACAUUUGAGCCUAAUAAAAUGGAAACUCUCAGAAAAUACAGAACAAACUGAGGCCUUGUUUAGUUCCCGAAAUUAUGGGCCGAAAUGCAAAAAAUUUUGCAAUUUGGCCUUUUGGAAGUAAACGAGCCCGAAAUUUUUUGGGCCAAUUUCGCAGGCCGAAACGGCGGCUCUAGCAGCCCAAUUCCAGGGCGCGGUCGUUCUUUACCCGGGCGCCGCGUGAAACCCUAACCCGGCCGCAUUCGCCCACCCGCCGCGCACACCGCCCGCCGCGACGCUCUCCUCUCUCGCGUUCCUUCCCUCCGCCGCCGCGACGCUCUCCUCUCCCCCCGUUCCUUCCCUCCGCCGCCGCGAGGCUAUCCUCUCCCUCCGCCGCGACGCUCUCCCCUCCCUGCUGCACUCAUCGACGCCCAAACAUCCACGGCCGCCCGCGAGCGGUGUUUUACGCGGCCACCCGCACGAACCCUAGCCCUGCUCUCCUCCGUCGCGUCCGUGCUCCACCAGUAGAUCCACCCUUCUCGUGUACUCUCCUCUCCUGUUCCUUGCGAACCAUGGCCGGGCAUGGCAGCGGCGGCUUCGACGGCGACCAGGGUGCCUUCAACCGGAGCCACAACAGUGGAUCUGGGGCCGGCGGCGUGACGCGGGACUUCUGGGACUCCUCCGGUCCAAGCCCCUUCGGCUCAGGCGCUGGUUCAAGCUCGUACCCGAACCCGCACCUAGGGUUCGACGGCCUGGACAUCAACGCUGGCGAGGAAUGGGCGCCAGAAGACGUGGACGACUACGCCGAGCAUCUCCGCGGCAGCAGGGACCUCAUGCCGCCUCCCGUUCGAGCUCCGUCGGUCGGCGGUUCGCGGCGUCCGUUGUUCCACCCGCCUCGGCAAGCGCCAUCAACCGAGCCUUCACCCGACGACGGCUUCGGCGGCCGGCUGUCGCCUGACGGGGGCAGCAACCCCCGAUCUGCACGCACGCCAUCACGAGGCCGAGGACGCGGUCACCGCGCACACGCAUCGGCCGGGAAGGUACAAAACACCCUGCCCCAUCUUUCUAAAUGUUCCAUGUUGUAUACUAGUAGUAGUAGGAAACGCGCGGCCCUGCGCGCGAUCAGUAAAUGUUUGUUGAACUUUGCUUGAAAAUGAUGUACAUGUCCUGGGUGUGGAUAUACGUGUAGAUAUUUCUGUGCAUAUGAAAACAUCAUUAUUCACACAGAUUAGUAUACACGGUUUUCAUAGUCAAAAGCCGCAGGCCUGAGAGACUGUAUGAUGUCAGAUAUGAGGAAAUCCUCAAAGAUUGUAUGAUGGCAGCAUUGUAGUUAAUUACAAAAUAUGGGGGCUGCAGUACUUUCAGGCAAUGCUUUUGUUGUAUUGUGUUCCUUAACAAAGACGAAAGGACAAUCUUAACGGAAGAUCAUACAGAGAAUGAUUUAUUUUUGUUUACCUCCCAGUCUGAGAUGUGCAACCAUUUCAGAGUCUUAGAUUUGCAAUCAUCUUGCCAGUCAUGAGUUCUCUUGCUUAAGUUUAUCAUCAUGAGCAUUCCGGAUCAAGUCUUAGACCUGGAAAAAUAAAAGAGAGCAUGCAACAUUCUGCCUAAGAUAAAACUUAAGAUAGACCAUUCAUUAUAAAAUUCUAUAUAUAUUGUGUCGAGUUCAGGAUGACAUAUUAAUGAACCAAUAUUUUAAAUUCAGAGGAAUUACCCUUGGGACAAAAUUUCCCAUUUUAUCUCUUAGCUUCAAAUGCAAGAUAAAAACAAAAGCAAAUAGGUGACAUUAGUAGUUACCUGUUUUGUCACCUGUUUUUGUUGUGUUGCCUGACAUCCAUUUAUGUCCACCAAUAUUUGCGGUGUGUUGAAUUUUAUUAGUUAUCCCAUAUGUUUCUAAUGAAAUAGCAAAUGUAAGAAUUCAGCGACUAUCUACAAGUUGUGAGUUAGCACAAACUUUUGAUAAUUGAUAGGCGUCGCGUUUACAUUUGUAUAGGUGAAUAGGUUCCUUUUUCUCUUGCUGUAUUCAUGGCUGAGUGAACUGAUGCCACUGUGCAUGUCGAGUUGUACUAUAGGUUCCUUCAUUCAUGUUAUAUAAAAUUUCCCCCGAUCUGCACAGUGCAUGUUGAAUUUGCCGUCAUAGUCUUCUGCAAUUAUGACAUUACGUUAUUCAUGUUAUAUAUAAUUUGUGCUCUCGGUUAUCACGGUUUAGGUCCACAAGAGCAAAGCAAAUUGGACAACCGAUAACCUAACGAAGUACUGCGAAUGCUAUGUUCUAGAGAUGCACUAUGGGAAUUGCCCUGGAGGCCAAAUGAACAAAUUUGGGUGGAAGGGGUUGAGCAGUAGGUACUAUGCUGCCACAGGUUUGCUGCAUGAUAGGGAACAAUUGCAGGGCAAGCAGAGGACCCUUAAGAAGCUGUGGAGGUUCUGUAACCUUGCACGUACUCACACUGGAGUUAACAUAGAUGCUGACGGGUUCAUCCAGGCUACAGACAAGUGGUGGAACGACAACGCUACAGUAUGUGUGUCAUGGACUAUACAUUGGAAUUCACUUAUACAGCUCCAACAAUAUGUAACUGUUGCACUGCCUGCAGGAAUCCGAGUUCAUGAAGAUUAGGUCAACUGGACUGCCUCCGUACUUAGAUCAGCUUGAUCAGAUGUUUGCCGGGAACACAGUGGACGGCUCCUCAUCGUACGUUCCAGCUGCUGGUCCAACAACUGAAGUCCAAGAAGUUUCAUCUGAUGACGAAGGAGCAGAUGAGGAGGACACCCGUACCCCUAUGAGCCUUGGGACCAAAAGGACAGGAAGCACUAGCACAACUGCAACGAGCCCCAACAAGAAGACCAAGAACACAUACGCGAGGGUCAUGAACCAGCACAUGAACUCGCAUUUGGAGCUUGCUAGAGAGAGGCUGGAGGUUCACAAGAAUGCCCUUCAGAAAAAAGCACAUGACAAGGACGCCGCAAGGACAUCUGUGAACUGGAAAAUAGCUGAGUGCUCUAGGAUUGCUGAGCAUGAGCUUGGCAUUUCUCGAGACACGCCAGCCCUGUUGGAUGGACUCCUUGCUCUGGCAGAGAAUGAAGCACAGAUGGAUUUGUUCCUUUCGUCAAGUUAGACAGUGAGGAUACGAAUCAUCCAGAAGCUCGCCAGCAACCCUCCGCCGGUGGACCCCUAGAACACCUUCCUUCUAAUGCAUGUAGCAAUGGCGCAGUAGUUCCACUGACAGUAGUUGCACUGACAGUGUAGAACCUUUUGCUGGAGAUGAGGGCCAAUGCUUUUGGUUUAGGGUUGUAUGUUGUAGUGCGUACGUGUGUGUGGUUUUAUUUCUUUCUUUUCAAGAACUAUGAACUCUAUGUUGUCAUUUGUUUGGAAAGACCUUUGAAUGUACUAAUUUGUUUGAUCACCAAUCUUUGUUGCAUUAUGAAUUUGUAUGUGCUACUAUGCUACUUUUGGGCCAUUCUGGUAACCUUGAAUGUGUUGUACCAUGUGCUGACUAGUCUGUGCUGUAAUUGUGGCAGGCUAAGAUUUCUUGGUAUGAUGCACGAAGGGAGGAGUUGCUGCAGCAGUUGGAGAAGGAAGAAGAUGAGUUGCUGGAUGAGAUGAUGGAAGAUGCUGAGGAGGAUGAGUUCAUCUUUGGUAUGUACCAAUAUGCAAUGCACAUAGACAAGUACAUGUGUAGAGCUGACUAUAGAGUUCCUAAAAUGAGUGGCAUUGAAUGGGUUCAUGCUAAGACGGCCAGUGAGAAGUCAUGUUACAACAUGUUUAGAAUGACCCCUACAAUGUUCUUUACCUUGCAUGAGCUUUUAUGUGCUAAGUACGGUCUGAAAUCGACUACCAAGUCGACUUCUUUUGAGGCUCUAGGCAUGUUCUUGUGGAUGGUUGGGGCACCACAGUCUGUUAGGCAAGCUGAGGACAGAUUUGAGAGGUCUUUGGGGACUGUGUCAAAAAUGUUCAACAGAGUCUUGAAUAGCCUUGUGCAGCUAGCAGCAGACAUCAUUAAGCCAGUUGACCCAGAGUUUAGAACACUGCAUCCAAGGCUUACAAAUCCUAGGUUUUAUCCACAUUUCAAGGACUGCAUAGGGGCCAUAGAUGGAACUCAUGUCCAAUGUGUAGUGCCAAAUGACAUGUUUGUUCAGCACUUGUGCCGCAAGGGAAUCACUACACAAAAUGUCAUGGCUUGUUGUGACUUCGACAUGAGGUUCACCUUUGUGAAUGUUGGUUGGCCUGGAUCUGUUCAUGACAUGAGAGUGUUCAAUGACUCGACAACAACAUAUAGCGCUGUGUUCCCACAUCCACCUCAAGGUACUGACUAUUUCAUACACAUGACUGAUUCUAAUACUUGAUGACACUGUGCCUAACUGAUUGUCUGUUGAUGCAGGGAAAUACUAUCUCGUGGACUCGGCCUAUGCGAACAAGCAGGGGUACCUAGCUCCUUACAAAGGCAACAAGUACCAUCUGCAGGAGUUCCGUGACGGGUCCGAGCCACAAGGUAAAGAGGAAAUCUUCAAUUAUGCACACUCUAGCCUUAGAAAUGUUAUUGAGCGGGCAUUUGGAGUUUUGAAAAUGAAGUGGCGCAUGUUGCAAAAGAUCCCUCCAUACGCACCUCACAAGCAAUCCAAAAUAAUUGUUGCAUGUAUGGCCCUACAUAAUUUUAUGAGAAGCAAUGACAUAGCAGAUAAGCACUUCCAUAGGUGUGACAAUAAUGAGAACUAUGUGCCGCGACAAGCGUAUGAGAAUCAGCCACCUCCUGAGGUUGUCGAAGAUGGUCCAAACCCGAUGGCUGCAUUCCGUGAUUCGCUUGCUUAUGCUAUGGCAACUGGUUCGUAAAACUGUUGUGAUUGUUCACAUGUUUGUUUAUUUCAUUAUUGCGGUUUGUGAGUAUUUUUUUACGACAGUUUUGAAUUCAUGCGAGUAUCUGUGAAUGUUUGAGGACAUAUAUGAGCUGUGAUGUUUACUGUAACAUUGUUGAGCCCAUUAUGUGGUUGUAAUAGGAAAUAAAAGUUGUAAUAGGAUGAUCACAGUUUUUUUUAAUAAAGUGUGCAUGAACAUUGCCUGUGAUUUUGUCUAUGCUUCAAUCUAUGCUUGUUGUGCAUGUGCAUGGGGUUGCAUGGCAACCAUUUAAUGCAGCUGCAUGACUUGCAGUUUUGCAAAAUUUUUUGGUAAGUAAACAGGAAAACCAAAAUACAAAAUGUCAGUAUUUUGGUGUGCUGCACAUUCUGUUUGGGAUUUUACAAUUUUGCAAAAAAGUUCAGGAACUAAACAAGGCCUGACUUGGGCCGCCACUCCCUAAAUUCGCUAGGCCCAACGCCUCCCUCCAGUCUCUUCCCCGUCCAGUCCCUUGACCCAGCGUCGAUUUCAAAACCCGCGAAACCAAGCACGGCGUCACGAGUCACGACCGCACCAACCCCAGAGGCGGCAAAGGCGGUCUCUCUCGGGCCCGGGCACUAGCGGCGAUGUCGGCGGCGGCGAAGGCCAAGGCCAAGGCGAGCGGCGGCAAGCGGGCCGCGGCGUCGAAGGACCCCGCCGAGGCGCUCGUCUCAGACAAGAGGCGGCGGGAGCGCGGUGGCAUGGACGACUCCGACCACGAGUUCGACAGGUGCCUUGCCUUGCCUGCUCCUCCCCCCUCGCCUAUCGUGUUCGCUGCUUUGGAUUCGCCGCGGUCCGGGAGCGAGGCCGUUGGUUCGAAUCGGGGCGGCGAAGCGAGGGUUUUCGUUCCUAGUAACUGCGCCUCCGUUCCGUGACAAUUUUUUUGGGGGGAACUUUAGCGCUAUUGAUCGAUUCCUCUCUACACAUUUCAUGAUCCCGGGCGUGCUUUCAAUGUGAUUGGUGGAGGCAGUGACAUGAAGGAGAUCGUCACGCUGCUGAAGCAAAUCAAGGACAAGGCCCACAAGGACGGCCAGAAGAAGACCGAGCAGGCCAUUUCCAGGUGAUUACGGUCUCCAUCCCCGCGCAUCCACCUAGCAUUUUGGUACUAGUAGCGACUGUUCUGUCAGUGUACGUAAUACAGCAGUGUUUUACAUAAUACAGCGUUUUGGUCAGAUGUUUGUGUGUGCAACUGUUCUGUUUGCUCCAAUAGUCCAAUCCAAUCGAGGGAGAUUUGGUGUGGUUUGGUGCAUGGCAAGCAGCACAUCUGGUUAAAAUCUGCAGAUUUUACACAAAACGUCUGAUUGACAUCUGAUGUAGUACUCUACUAUGGAAGACAUGUGUUGGUGAUACUCGCUGUGUUGUGUCUGAUUUGUGCACUUCAGAUGGCUGUGCUUCAUACACAGUUUAGCAGGGCACCUCUCAUGGGUGUCAAGUUGUUUGCCAAUUCCUGGGUGCUUUAGUGAAUCACUGGUUGUUGUAGUUCACAACUAGAGAGUUUGUUGUCCCUUGGUCUCAUGCUAAAGGGAGCACUAUUACUGACUGAAGUGAAUCCACCUAUGGUGUCUGGCAAGUAGAUUGAGACUGGAGUUCAUGAACAAUGGCAUCAUGGAAUCUUAUGUCUGGAUGUUGUACUCGUUGCAGGGAGCUAUCUUGAGUACAUUGCUAACAAGUUUUGGUAUCUUUCAGCGUGGCAACAGAGAUUCAGACUAUGGUACAAGACACCAAGACUAGGCUUGAGAAGGAAAGGUGAGCAAAUAACUAAUCCAUAUCACCAGCCUUCCAGUGACUUCACUAGAGAAAUACAUUAGCUCCUGCAGCGAAAUCUGAUGUGCUCCUUUUUAGUUGUAGCUAGAACUGAAACAGGUUCUUGGUAAUAAAUACUGUGAACACCCUGAAUGGAAUGUGCCCCUGACAAUUGUUUUAUGUGCGUGCACAGGCAGAGUUUUCUGAAAGCAUUGUCAAAGACUUCAAAAGAGGUCUGGAAUUGUACUUGAUGCUUCAAUGUGCUUCUGGUUACUAAUCUGAUCAGAUUUUGGUUAAUGGAAGAUUCGUUUAUAUGUUAUGCAGUGCGAAGGUUUGUUGAAGAAUGAGUACACCAAAUUUCAAGCAACACAUGACAAGUUCUGCAAAGACAAAGCUGCACACAUACAGAAUUUCAAAGGUACGCCAGAUAAGAGCUAAGCUGACACCUAUUGUGAUAUGCUGACAUGCUGUAUUGUUAUCAUCUAGCAUAUCUUUAUCUAGCUCAUGUCAUGCUCGAGCAGGUCUGGUACCAUCCUUAGUUUGUUCAUCAUGAAUAUGACACAUUUAGAUCAUGACUCCAGAUAUUCUGUGUCCACAAUUGAGUUGUGCUGUUUGCCUAUUUUUUUAAUUAUAUGACCAGAGGAAUUCUAUAGGCAAGCUCACCUAAGGAAGCUCCAGUGUACGCAUAUGCUUAAUCUGCUAGCAGUUUUGCAGCUAGUAAAUGCAAUCAUAUAGCCUGUGUUGUACCUAUGCUGUCACACACUCACACUUUCCUAUAAUUCAUGAUUUAGAAGGGAUAAUAUGUUAAUGUGAAAUCACCCAUUGAGCACUGUGCUGUGCCUAUAUUGCCUCACUUUCCUCUUCACUGAGGUAGUUGUUGUCAUCAGUUAUCAUCAUUUUUAAUUGACCUAUCUAUGUACUGUUUUCUGCAGACCUGUUCUCAAAGUUUGAAGAUGAUAAAGAGAAAUUGCUUGUGCAGUAUGAACUGCAGAGUAAGUAGUAGAUGGCUAGUUCCUUCAGUUGUGUUUAUGAGUUUGCUGCUUUGACAUGCUGCCUUUUAACAGGGAAGAAGGAGAAGGCUACUCUAUCUGAACUUGAGAAAACAUUUUCAGAGAAGAUAGCAAAUGCAGAAGAAUCCCUGAAGAAGAUGAAGCAGGUAAAUGUCACAACAUGCAUGAUUUUCACAUUGCUGAUCUCAUCACCAUGCAUCGUUACUGUGACUAAACUUUGCAUGGUUUAUUAACCAUAAUAAUCAGUUCACUAAUUAUGCAUUCAUGCUUGACAGGACGACAAAUCAAUCCACAUCCUUCGCAAGUCCAUUGGCUCAUUUCUGAGUGGCGACCCAGAUGAUCAGUCUGGUCAAGAUGAUGACUGAAGCUGCUGUCACCAAAUGGUUUCUAGUUUGAGAUCUAUGUGGAUAAUAUGUUAUUGGAGAAUAUAUAUCAUCAGUGCAUAGGGGAGGCAAAGAUACAUAUAGGGAGUUGAUAGUUUGUGACUGCACAACUCGUGUGCUUAGUUUUCAUUGGCUCGGGCUGUGAUGUUAUGGAGAAUGAUUGCAUUAUUAAUUUGGUGGAUUUUAGUACUCUACAGCAAGAGGUUUAGAUUGUGCUAGGUUGGAAAGGCAUUAUCUAGUUGCACCAUUGCAAGUGCUAUACUUGGCCGGGACGCUUUACAAUUUGGUCAGCAUCUGCUCUCCUCAUGCCACAGCCCACUGCAAACCAAGUUCUCCUUUAUCAAUAUUCAGUAAUAAAAUAUAUACGAAAAUUUGCAAAUUCACUAAAGCAUACAUGUCAUUGCAAAUUCAUAUGUUUUUGAAGGAAUGCAAAAGCAAAAGAACAGGAGAUUUACACACACAUACUUCACCGGCAAAACAAAAAAAAAAGGUUGAGAUCGUCGUCAAUCCACGUGUCUUGAAGUUGUGGUGGUAGCAUCUCCUGUAUCAAUAUUCAGUAAAACAUAUACAGUAUACAUGUCAUUGCAAAUUCACAUGUUUUUGAAGGAAUGCAGAAGCAAAAGAACAUGAUAUUUACACACACAUACUUCACCGGGAAAUAAGAAAAGGUUGAGAUCGUUGUCAAUUGUCAAUUCCACAUGUCUUGAAGUGGUUGCAUCUCCUGUACUGUGGCUUGCAAGCAACCGGUUGUUCAGUUCAGGCACACGUUGCGAUAGAGGCAGCGGCCUGUUCGUCGGGUCCAUGCACGUCGACCAUGGCUGCCUUGGAGCACGCCUUGCACUGGAGGCACCACCGGCCGACGCACACCAUGGACGUGUACCGCUCUCCGCACCCGGGGCACUUGGCGGGGCACUGGAACACCUGCCGCCCCGGCGCGGCCGGAGGCUUCUUUUCCGUCGGCGGCUUCGUCUGCCACGGCGUGUUGAGCCACGCGGGGCAGCGGGCGCACCUCAUGCCUUCCCGCCGCUCCCGGCGCCCGACCAUGCCGCGGAACUCGUUCUUGCAGGAGGGGCAGUAGAUGAGGAUGGGCUCGCGCGGCUCCUGCACCGGCGGCUGCAUCAUCAUCAGCACCGUCACCUUCGGCCGCGGAGGCCGGCCGGGCUGGGCAGCGGCGGCCGCCGGAGGCGGGGGAGUGCUCGUGUCCCGGUCCGCCGGUCUGGAGCGGGAGGGGGCGGGCCGCGGUGGCGAGAGGGCUUCAUCGUGUGCCUCCCGCAGAAGCCUGAAGGCGCUCUCGGCGGCGGCGCAGUGGGUCUUGUCCGGGUGCACGAGGAGCGACAGCCGCCGGAACUGCUUCUUGACGGCGUCCUGCGUGGCGGCGUCGGCGCCGGGGCCUAUGCUGAGGAUCGCGCGCCAGCCGCCGGCGCCGCCGUCCGCGGUGGCGUUGGCGUGGACCUUGUAUGCCGCGAUCGCGUUGUCCACGUCCGGGAGCGACGGGCAGAGCCGCUUCGCGUUCUCGGCCAUUUUGUGCGCGUCGACGAUUUUGCCGGCGAGGAAGAGCUCCUCCUUUCUUCCUCGCGUUACACACCGCCAUGUGGGAGUCUGCUGGAUUGGAUUGGAUUGGUCUGGAGAUGGACGCAGCCUGCUUUGUGCAUGGCCAGGGAAAUAUAUAGCUGCCUGUUCAUCAGUUGGACUCCGAUUGGAGUCGGCGUUUUCGUCUCCGCGCGCCGCGCGUUCCAGUCGGAGUCGAGUCCGAAUUGCCCUGGAAACACUGGGCUCCGCUCCGGAAUCGCCGCGGUCUAUCGUACUAGCCUUUUGUCUUUGUCAUUAUAUAAUUCAAAAUUAUUUUUACGUGAGGAAGCUAAUGAAUGUUUUUAGCAAAUUUGAUCAAAACUAUGAAUGUUUAACUCGGUACUUUUAUAUUGUAAUUUUUUCGGACCGGAGUGUGUUUUUGUCAUCUGAUGGAGUAGGUUACGAGCAACUAAAGUAAUAAUAAUAGUAUCAGUUUGUAUGUAAUGUGCCAAUACUUUUACGGUGUAACUGGUUAGCACAACACGCUAAAGAAGCGGUUGACUGAUUUUUGUUUGUAUGUAAUGUGACACCUUUUCAAUUUUCUUUUCUCAUCGCAUACUCUCACUGCCUUGGAGAAAGUGUACAUGUAGAUUCCCCUCCUCCCCCCUCCUAAGAGCCUAUUAUUUGCCUUUUUUUUCUUGCUUGUAUAUUAGGCCAGUUUUAGCCUAAUAUAUAAUCCCUCGAUUUUCACUUUUUUAACCAAUCCCUCGAUUCCAAAUUAUAUAUACAUCACUUUAAUUUAUAAUUCAAAUAUAUAACACUUCUACCAACUUUUCUUAUUAGAAAAUAUAUCAACAUCUACAAGUUUAUAUAUAUGCACUAUCAAACCUAUUUUAUGAAGGAUUGAGUGCAACUGAUUUGAAGGUCUAGGUAUUGCUAAGUUUCUUUAUAAGCUUGGUCAAAACUACAUAAGAUUGACUUAGGACACAACAAAGUGAACUAUGAUUCAGGAUGAAUAUAGGUAGAUGGCAUUCAACUCUACCUCUAGGAUAGAAUUAGUGUUAUUAUUAAGCCAUCCAAAUUCGUCACCAUUGGCACGAAGCAUUGAAUUAUUUUAUUUUAAAAAAAAAUACAUUAGUGUUAGCUACUUAGCUUCAUAUUACUCCCUCCAAUAAUACAAAUAAGGAAUUAAUAAAUACUAGCAAAAGUACCCGCGUGUUGCAACUGGAGAAGUCAUGGAGAGUUUUGAUAUCUAUAUUGUUUUGUCUUGAAAGCUAUUGUUUUUAUUGCACCCGAAGCUAUGCUCACACACGCACACGCACACCGCACCCAUGCACACACGCCCGCACGCGCGCGCACACACACCGCACACGUUUUCUCUUCCACUUUCAAUUAUAGCAUCAAAAAAUCAACAAAUAUAACUCCAAUAAAUUUACAUAGUGUACAAAAUUUCAUCAUACAAUUUUGUUAAUUAAUGUGGAAACAUAAUACCCUCCUUUUUUACUUUACUUUUUUUCUUUUUCUCAUCCUUAUCUGCUAGAUCAAACUCGAGUGGCCUCAUUCACUCGCACCCUGUGGCUUCCCACUUUGGCUAACUGAAGCCUUGCAAAUGCGACCAUGAAGCCCUAAUGGUUUGACGGUCAUGGCACCAUGGCGCCCAUGGGGUCGCGACGUGAGCAUGCUCUGGUACUUCCAUGCUUUGCCAUUCUGACAGCCUGUCGAGUCUAUGAGACAGAGCCCCGAUAGUUGCACACGCCAACAACUGCACAGCCUCGCCCGCGUCACCGUCUUCUAUCUCCUCGACCUCACCUUGUGUCGUUACUGUCGCACAUCCUCGCCUCGGUCUCACUCACACGCUGUCUCAUCAAGUUUUGCCCGACCUCGACAUGGUCUCCAAGCCUUGUGCCAUCGUCGUUUCGGCCACGACAUAUUUUCGUGCCACCUUGUUUGACUUGAUAGGGUGUCGUUCUUAUAUAUAGUUUAAUCGGUUGUUAAACACUUUUGGGGUCAGGGUGCCUGGGGGCACGAGGCUGUGGUCGCCAAUCGCGUCGGUCGCUAGCUAUGGGCGCGCGGCCAUCGGGGGACGUGCUCAGCUCCGAGUCAUGUACGUCGGCGAGUGCGCCUCUGAAGUGGGGCUAGAGGUGGAAGGCUGCAACUCCCUCCAAAAUGACCAAAGCCCUUGGCCCAUCGCUGAGGGGGCGGGGCCACCUAGGGGCGUGGGGUUGUGGGCGCUAGUUGUGUCGGUCGUCGGGGGUGCGCUCGGCUCGGAGCCACGUAUGGCGGCAUCCUCGGUCGCCGGAGGCGCGUUCGGCUCCGAGUCACGUACGCACAGGUUAUGUCUGCCGGGCGCAGCGUCCGCUAGGGGCAUGGGGUUGCGGCCCCCGGUUGCGUUGGGCACCAGGGGCAUGUGGCCGCGGGGGGGGGGGGGCAUGUGUCCACAGAGGGGUGCAAGGCUGCCUCCGCCAGACACGCCGGCCACUGGGAGGGCAAGGGGCACCCGUCGAGAUGUGUGGGGUUGUGUCCGCCGGACGCCGAGGGGCCGGGGCCGCUGAGGGGCGCGCGGAUGCAGCCGCCAAGAGGUGCGUUGCUGUAGCUGCCGAUCAUGCGGCCACCGGGGUGCGCGGGGUCGUCUCCGUUGGGCACGGCGGCCGCGAAGACAGUUUUUUUUUUGCCCUUAAGGCAUAUGGUCUCACUCUCCUAUCCAUUGAAUUCACAUUGAAAAAUGUACAACACACAUUCCAAUACAGUUUUACACUGAGAUAUAUGGCGGCCGCCCUCUGUGCUCUACGCUAGCAGCACCAAAUGAGUAGGACAAGUGACCCUACACCUAGUCCAAUCCCAAGUAGUAUCCCUACGAGCUCCCACCAAUGACCGGUGUCCAUCAUGAUCGGGUUCCUGCCACCUCUUCCUCGACGUAUCCUCUCUCACAGUACUGGGCUUUGUGAGGCCCUGUUUAGUUACUCCCCAAAUUUUUUUCAUCCAUCCCAUCGAAUCUUUGGACAAAUACAUGAAACAUUAAAUGUAGAUAAAAAAAUAAACUAAUUACACAGUUUGGUUGAAAAUCGCGAGACGAAUUUUUAAGCCUAAUUACUCCAUGAUUAGCCUUAAGUGCUACAGUAACCCACAUAUGCUAAUGAUAGAUUAAUUAUACUUAAUAGAUUUGUCUUGCAGUUUAAUUUGUUUUUUUAUUAGUUUCUAAAAACCCUUCUCGACAUCCUUCCGACACAUCCGAUGUGACAACCAAAAUUUUUUUCUCCACCAUCUAAACAGGGCCUUAGUUUAUAAAAUUUUUCAUAUUUCUUAUCGCAUCGAAUCUUACGGCAAAUGUAUGCAACAUUAAAUAUAGAUAAAAAAAUAAAUAAUUACAUAAUUUAUCUAUAAUUUACGAGGCGAAUCUUUUGAGCCUACUGAGACUGUAUACUUUUGUUUUCGUCUAUAUUUAAUGCUUCAUGCAUGUGUCACAAGAUUUGAUGUGAUAAGAAAUCUUAAAUUUUUUUUGGUUUUUGGGUGAACUAAACAAGGCCUAAGGAUGCCUUGGUUCUUUGUGAAGCUCUGUAAAGAGUAUCAAACAUUGAGGUUCUAUUUGGUUUCCCUUAUAUCAGUUCCUGUUUUUUUUCCUCUGAAAUUAUUAUUAAAAAUUAAUACUCCUGGUUUUUUUAGGCCUUGUAGUUCCCAAAAAAUUUUGCAAAAUUUUUCAUAUUUCCCGUCACAUCAAAUCUUUAGACACAUGCAUGAAGUAUUAAAUAUAGACAAAAAUAAAAACUAAUUGCACAGUUUGGUCGGAAUUGACGAGACGAAUCUUUUGAGCCUAGUUAGUCCAUGAUUGGACAAUAUUUGUCAAAUACAAACGAAAGUGCUACAGUAUCGUUUUUUCAAAAAAUUUUGGAACUAAACAAGGCCUUACUUGUCUGGAAACUUUUGCUAUACAUAUUAGGAAUAUAUACUCUUUAUUUCUGAACGUCCAUUCUAAAUGUUUAGUUUUUUCUCUCUUUAACUUUGGGUGCUAACCUUGCCUGUUCUGGUACUUGUUUCAGCGGAUUGUGUUUCCAGGAGCAGCUGGAGCAUACAGAGUUUCGCAGCUUCUCGUUGUGGGGUUUGCAGCUCCGUGGACAGAUGACCUGUUUCAGUACCAACGACAUCCCAUCAUCUCUUUGGGGGAUCGACGAAACAUGAGUAGAAAAAAAAAAAGCAACUCACAAUUGUCAUAGAAGCCAGGUGUCCUGCUCAACCAAGUUCUCCCCAGGAUCAACACUGACGAGUAAUGUGAGAGACUCGAGCAGUGGCGGAGCCAGAAUUUUAAACUUGGGUAUUCCUACUUUCACAAAGUUAAUUUAUAGGUUGAAAAUAUAGUCAAUUAUACUGCAAGUUAGCAACUUUAAACUAAUAUUUGCUUUCUAGAAUAUAGACUUCUAAUUGAAAUGCUAGUUUUUUUACAUGUUUUGAGCUCAAAUGUGCAAAAUACUAUAUAUUAUAGCAUUAUACAUUUAUAUAUAUAAGUGUAUACACAUAUUUACGUAGAAGUGUACCAAAAUAGUUGGGUAUUCCUGUGAAUACCGGGGAAUACCCCUAGAUCCGCCACUGGACUCGAGACAAGUAAGCAGAAGAUCACAUUAUUUAACGACUUACAAUCUCAACCAUGGCACUUCACGAUUUGCACAUGCUUCCUUGAAUUUUUAAGAACAAACAAGCAAAUCAGUGAUUCAGUGGCAUGCUUGUAUUGUAGCAGCAAGCAAUAUAAUGCAUCAUAGUCGCAAACAAACCUUCACCAUCCCACAAAGUCUUGGUCCAAGAAAAGCUUUUCAUGCAGUUGCAAAUUAAAGGAUGAUGCAUGAUAGAGUCGACGUCGUCGUUCGUCUAGCCGGCGGCGGCGCCACACCUGCAAGAGACACACACAUGCACAGUCCCGUACGUAUUCUUUGCAAUGCAACAAGGAGGAGAGGCUUCAGAAAGCGAUGGCCCGGUGGCGGUCGUACACGGCCUUGAGUUCCGAACAAAUUUCGGAUUUCGCAACUGUAAUACUUUCGUUUUUAUUUGACAAAUAUUAUUUAAUUAUGAACUAACUAUGAUCAAAAGAUUCGUCUCGCGAUUUACAGACAAACUGUGUAAUUAGUUUUUAUUUUCAUCUAUAUUUAAUGCUUCAUGCAUGGGCCGCAAGAUUUGAUGCGACCUAGAAUCUUAAAAUUUUUUUGGAUUUCCGGGCUAAACAAGGCCGUAGACGAAGACGUCGUAGGAGCAGGCCUGGCACCUGAGCUUGCACAACCCACGGGACACCAGCGACGAGAAGGUCGUUUUGCACCGGGAGCACUCGGUGCGGCACGUGAACUUCACCCGAUCGUCAUCGUCACGUUGCCGCCGCGGCGGUGGCUCGGCGGCGCUGCCUGCCGGGGGCGGGUCUGAGGCACCCUCCGCCUGGCUCUCCCGCGGCGGCGGCGGCGGCGGAUUGAAGGCAGUGCCGCACGAAUGGCACCUGCCGCCGGGCGUGCCGUGGCGGCCGCCUCCCGCGGCGGGCUCCGAGCUGCAGUGCCCGCAGUAGGCGGUGCCCUUUUCGCGGGCGUAGCUCGACCGCCACGCGCUGAAGUUGGCCGAGGAUGCCGACGAGAAGGGCGGCGGCGGCGGCGUGUAGCCGUACGACGACCAGGUGCGCUCGGGCGGCGGCUUGUAGCGGAAGUGCGACGACCACCAGUCGCGGCCGGGCGCUCUGGGCGGCGGCGAGCUGCCGAAGAACGAGGACCACCAGUCAGGGUCUGGCGCUCCGGCCGGCGGCGAGCUGCCGAAGAACGAGGACCACCAGUCAGGGUCUGGCGCUCCGGCCGGCGGCGGCCUGGGCUUGGCGCCGGUGCCGAGGCCGGGAUCGGGGACGGUUCCUGGAGGGUGGCGAGCGGAGAGCACCUCCCACGCCCGCUGGAGCAGCUUGAACGCGCCGUCGGCGGCCGCCGAGCGGUUCUUGUCCGGGUGCAGGACGAGGCAGAGGCGCCUGUACCGCUUCUUGAUGGCGUCGUGGUCGUGCGCGACCGUCUCCGGCUGGCCGACGCUGAGAACCGCGUACCAGCAGUUCCUCUCGCCGCGGGCGGCGGCGUGGACCUCGUAUGCGGCGAGGGCGCUCUGCAGGGCAGGGAGCGACGCCAAGUGCCUCUUGGCGUUCCGGGACACGCGGAGCGCGCCGUCUAGAUCGCCGGCGAGGAAGCGCUCCUCCGCGUAUCUGAAGGCUUUCUCCGCCUUCUCCGUGCCGGUCGCCAUGAGAGAGUCAGAGCCGGCGACCGAUGGGACUCGGCGUCGACGAAACGAGAUAUAUCGGGCAAAAGGCGCGGCCAGUCCGACUCGAACUUGCGUGAUCGCAAUCUACGCGGAGGCAGCCCAAGUCGGCGCUUUCAUGAUGAGUCGAUGAGCUACCGUCUCGGACUGGCGCAAUAUUGUUUGGUUAAGCACGUUGAAGUUUAAUAAAUAUUGUAUUAGUAAUUUCUAGGCCAAACAUUUAUCUCCAAAAGAAUCGAUUUCUGUAGAUAAACGGUCCACCGAUCCAUAUUUAGUCUCUCUCGUAAUCUGAUCCAUCAGUACGCAAGAUAUAGAAAGAACAUUAUCCCUAAAUUGCAUGUUGGAGACCAGGCUAUCACUCACAAAGCAUGAGGAUAAGGCUGUUUUUAUGACAAUCUCAUCGCGACUGAGUGUGCUAGAGAGAGUACUGUUAAUCUAGACACCCUUGGCCAGUCCCAGCUUUGAUCUUGAAGCUUUAGGGUUUGUUUGGCACAGCUCAACUUCACUAGUAAAGUUGUUUUUUUAGAAAAUAGCUUCAUGAGUGACUUUCUAGAUGAAGCUGAGCUGUUUUGGAGAAAGUGUUUGGCAAAAUAGCUUCACCAACUACUUCAUGCAUAGUUAAGAGAGAGAAAUGAGAGAGAAGCUGCAAUAAGCUACUUUUUUUCCAGCUUCAUCCAACUUAUGUCUUUGUGAGAGAAGGAAAAAAAUAGCUUCACCCAUAAAGUUGUUUUGGAAAUAAGUGUUUGCCAAAAAAAACAGCUCACAACAGCUCAUGAAGCUGUUGUGAGCUGUACCAAACAGGCCCUUAGAGUUGCCUUUUUCUGAGGAAUUAGGCCUUGUUUGGAUGUAGUCGGAUUCGCAUCAAUCCACAUGUAUUGGGUGGAUUAGAGUGAAACUUGAACUAAAUUCCACCCCAAUUCACUCCAACACAUGUGGAUUGAGGUGAAUCCGACAACAUCCAAACAAGACCUUAAGGAGAUGCCACCUGAUAAGGCUAUAAUAUUACUUAUGUGAAUUUGCUUUGAUAUUUCAACACAAAAGUAAUUUUGUCUCAAAUUCUGUGAUUGCUCCUCAUCACAUUUAAAGAGUCAUACAACUCAGUAUGGUAUGGGUAUCCUCUUGAUUCCCAGUACGUAACGCUUCGGCUUCGGUUUUCACAGAUACACCACCAACACAUCCUCACAUUUUACCGAAGCACAUCGAUGGUAAAACAAACGCAGGAAUUGCACCGACGGCAACAGUUUAUUAUUAGGAUCAGAAAUUUGUCCGACGGCAACAGUUUAUUAGGACCUCCCAUAUGAGAGGAGCAGGUUAUUAGAGUUAGGUUUGGGCUCUGACCCUACCGCCACCUCAUUUCUUCAUUGCAGUUCUCCAACAGGUGCUUCGUUGAGCCACAGGAAAUGGAUGAAGUCAUACAGCUUAGUACUCACGCUUACCUGUUCAGGUACAACGAUGCAUGAUAAAAUAUGAGCUCGAUCAAAUUGUCUUAGCUUGUGACAUUAAUAGCAUCCAGAUCAAGAGUAAGAUUAGACUACCUUGUAAGGUGUUGGGUUCAGCCGCCUCAUAUGGUCUGGUCUCAUUCGGUCCAGAUGGUGAAUACACCGAGUCCUAAUCUCAUGGAUGGAUGGAAGCACCUCCCGUGGAUUCGCUUCACCAAUUAAUAACACAACACAUGUUGACAUCAAUGGCUCGCAGCUUAAAUACUUGAACAAUUUUAUUAUCCAUCUAACAAUUUGAACUAAACCAGGACACACAUUUAACUGAUGAAAGUGAUAAUUCCUACAGCUCUUGCGAUAUGGCUGUUAUGAUAGCAGCGCAUAAUCCCUAUUGCCAGAAACCUUAUUCUAUAUUUGGCUCUGGUGAUUAGCAUCAUACGUGCAGUAACAAUAAGUUAUAUUAGGUAAUGCCAAUACUAGCAGCACAUCAUAGUCUAUGUGUAUUGUAAAUAUGUUUCAUGAAAGACAACUAGCAUGGUCAAUGGAACAUGCAUGCACAAGCCACAAGGGGCAAAUAAGGUUACAAACACUAUGCAGAAGUAACUCAGGUGGGAGUUCAUACAUGAAGUUCCAGGCCAGUAGCACCUCAAUAAUUCCUCAACAUGCUGCGGAACAACAUAUGCUCUCUUUGAUUCAUUGAAAGGGUGCCGACACAGGAGCCUUUCACCAAUCUAUAAACAAAUGGUAAAUCAUAAAACCCACCAGCUGUUUCAGAUUUCGUAAAAAAGUAACUAUGGCAUACAAAAUCACAACUGAAAGAAAGAACAUGUAGGUGCCAUGUAGCCUAGAACUUUGAAGUGAUUUUUUUAUGCAAGCUCACCGUUUGUAUUUUUAAGCAUUAACAUGGAUAUUGUUUACCUUUGGACCUGGCUCAUCUUCUCCAGUCAUUAUAUCAACCAAUGGAUAUCCUUCUUUGCCAUACAAUCUGUAGCAUUUUUUCUUACAUGGUAUCGAUACCUGGAGCAGACAACUAAGUUCUCGGUCUGUUUGGAUGCAUAGAAGAUAGCUAACUUGUUUCUGCUAUGAAGUAAUAAGCAUACAUACCUUUGAGACAUCUUCAGAAAGCUUAAUGCGAGGCUGUUUGUUAAUCUCAACUAAUUUGAAUACACAACCAAGUGCAGCUUGUGCAUAGCAUGUAACUAGGUUGGUGCCAAUACCAAAUGCAUCUACCUCAUGGCCCUACACAAAAAUAUGACAAUAAUCAUGCAUAGAUUGUAGUGACAUGAUAAAUGUAAUUAAUGCGAGCACACAUGUAUUUAUCACGGCCUUGUACAUUUUAACCUGCUUGCACAGCCAUGUGUUGUGUUGAAUUCAUCAUAACAAAGAAUUAAACAGAGAUUCCCACUAGCCAGUUAACUGCUACCAGGUAUUUAGCACAAAUAAUUCAUUUAAUAAUAUCUGAUCAUUGGAUCACACAUAUCAUUAGCACAAAUUUACACAUGUCAGAAAUUACAAUAUACAUAAUUUCUAAACCUGUUCUACAAGAGAGAUUUCUACAUGCUACAAUGUCAACCAUUUUGGAUGGUACUAUACGGAUUACCUGCUUGUUCAGGGCAUCUAUAGUUUCUUCAUUAAGGUCAUUGCUUGCUGUGAUUCUUGUUUUCUCAAAACCAACAACUCCAAAUUCUUUUUCAAUUGCACGGAAGAACUUGCGGGUCUCAAUGGACAGGUAUGCUAAAUCACCAGAGUCCAACCUAAUUCCGACUGCCUUAUACCUGCAAUGAAAACUUCUGUAAGUACCAGUGGCAAAUGCUUAUCACUGAUGUUUUCUUUGGAACACUUAACAAUCACUAAUAGAUCAAUGAAGUAUCUGUGACGUCACAUACUUCUGCUCAAAUUGCAUAUUUGACAAUACUAACUCGAAUUUGCCAUUUAUAAAAGCAUGAAUUGUAAAUAUGAAACUGGUCAGCUCCAUCAUGCUGUGGCAUGACAAAGUUGCCCCUAUCCGCAUGUCUGUCCUCUGCUUGGUGUCUGCUCCAUCUGACAAUAUCAAUAGUCAGCCGGGCCCCCUAAGCUCUUGACGGCCCAUGGCCAAUUCCUGUGCUUGAGACCUCCCACCCACCAACAGCCUCUCUGGCUCCUGCUGAGCUUGUAUGCCAUGGCAUUGUUGUAUGCCACCCACUGCACAGUUUCAUACUUACGGACAAACACAGCCGAGAUCGAAACCAAUGAAGACGAACUGCUCUACAGAUCUACCCUAGGAGCAAGCUAACUGAUGCACAAAGGGAGCAAUUGGGAUGAACAAAGCCAUGGCUUGAGCAAACCAAACAGGAACUUGAGUCACACAAGACAAUAAACCCGACAGUGGUGGCUUGUGAGCUCAUAGUGUAGUGCUGCACUUGGUGCGGACAGGGAACAGGAUCCCAACAGCGGUGCUUCAAGACCAUAAAAAAACUUGAGUAAAAUUCACUUGUCAAAUCUUGAGUUAUAGCAAGUUGCUAAUUUAUUUAGCAAAAGAAAAAAGGAUGUGUCUCCAAUAAGUUGCUAUUCUCACUUGGUAAAAAUAGAGGAUGACAGAUGGGACCCGCUCACUUGGUAGAAGAAUAUGUGUCUCCAACAAGUUGCGUUCGGGAUAGCAACUUGGGAUAGCAACUUGACAAAUCUCGGCAGUAGAAACCUCUGAUAGCAACUUGGGAAAUUUAGCAAGUUGAGAUAAGGAGUUGUUGGAGGAGGAUUUUUAUGCUUUUAGCAAAUUUGGUAGGAUAGCAUGUUGAAAUAACAAGUUGUUGGAGAUGCUCUAAAACCGAAUAUAAUGGAAGGUGCUCCCGUUGAAUUAUUGAAAGGCAACCCGUUUUGGAGGUUGGAAGGUCAGGAUGUGUAGAAGACAUCCAGGGGGCAUCAUAAAAUGGAGGCCAGCAGAAGAGCUCAUUGACUACGUUGAUAACUGGCACAUAAGUUCAGAUAGCUCAGGUCUGUGUGGUUGGGAGGCCUAGCUCAGGUGGAUUGGUGGCUAGGAACAGGGAGCUGCAGAAGGUUCAAUGGCUUGUAGAGGACAGCGACGAUGUGUGGUAGCAGCCAUGCAUGGUGGGAUGAGAGGGGCAGAGGUUGGGGGUACUUGGGUCAUUUGAACAGUGUCAAGUGAAUUGGGCAAUCCAGUUGCAGUUCACGCCUUGCCGAUAGACCGGGACUUCCAAUUGUAAAUUGGGUAAUUGGGUUACUUGAGCAGUGUCAAGUGAAUUGGGCAAUCCAGUGGCAGUUCACACUUUGCCGAUAGACCGGGACUUCCAAUCAUAAAUUUAUAAUUUGAGUUUUUAUAGCGGCAGAUCGAAUUUUUAGUCAGACUUAUCAAGUACAAUAAAUAAUUUUUAGAAUCAUUUGUUACUGAAAUAUAUAUAAAAAAUAGACCAACCUAGGAGGAACAAGGUGGCAUUUUAUUAAUAUUAAGAAGGAAAUGGCACCCAAAUUAGCCUUUUUAGACGAGGACUUGAACCUAAGUGGUCUGGGUAUACAUCCACACCCUCAACCAACCGAGCUAGCUCAACUUCCUUGUUGCUGAAAUAUCAAAGCAACUAAUACUCACAUGCAAACCUGGAGUCUCCUAAUACACAUGAGAUGCAUUUCUAGAGUAACCAAAAAAAUGCACUUAGGGUAGCAGAUUCGUAAAGCAAAGAGCCAAGAGAGCAAGUGCUGGUGUUGGUUCUUAUGCCCAAAAUGCUUGUUAGGGAGAAAAAAUCUUGCUAAUUAGUGUUACAUAUCAGUAUAUCACAAUAAAAGUCCCUGAUUAUUCCUAAAUAUUCAUGCCAUCACUUCUAGGUAAGUUAGGCAACAAUGAACCUCAAAACUGGAGCUUGAGUAAAAUGGAAGGGCUAAUGAAAAGACAAGUUUAUGAAAGUGCAAUUGAACUUUAUAAAGGAGGCAACCACAAAGUUUUACUUGUGCUCGUUGAGAAAAGGAAAACCAAGAGUAUUAAGGAGACGAGCUCAGACAAAAUUACCCCAUAUCAUUGAGGGCCAAAGCAACAGCACAGAAGUUUGGCACUCCACUUCUCAUGACCUAGCAGUGGCAUGGAUUAAAAUAUCAGAUAUGCUCAGAUAGAAGUUGAUGUGCUAAUUCUAUCAAGGUCAUCCCUAAACAUUCACUAUCUCAUGAGUAAUCCACUAUCUCUAGUAAUCCUAAGCUGGAUAUAAAUAAUAAUAACUAGCAGGUCAGAAUAUAUGCACUAUGCAGGUUAGAUGCCCAUAAUAUAUCCAUCAGAGACUAAGAAAGCAAAUGAAAAUGCCUUGGUUUUGGUUGCAGGAUAUCGGGAACUGAGCCUAGCUUAGUUGUAUACCCCCCCCCCCCCCCCCCCCCCAAUAGCCAGUUUCAAGUUCUCUUCAACUUGAAUUUGGGUGCCUUUUUUUAUUAACAAUUUCACAGCUCCUCCUAGGUUGGUCGAGCUUCCUUUUUUGGUUUUUUUCUACCUUUUGAUAUUUUUUUUCUCGAACUAUGCAGGAGAGCUGCAUGUCAUUUCAAGAAUCAUUAUGGUGUCUGCAAUGUUUAUCCAGCCCAGGGGAAAAAGCAUUAAACAGAAGAAACAUUAUUUUGCACAUGCCACAGAAAACAUAAAGACACAAUUGCUGACAAAGAUCAACUUACAUCAUAUGUGUCAACCAAGGCCAGGAAGGAAUUUGGAAAUGCCAGUGCAUAUGACGUGAAUGCAGCCAACUCACUUUGGCUCGUUUCUCCAAAGGUACCAUGCAAUGAACUAGAUUCCUGAGAAUAACAAAUUAUAGAUCUUGACUAGAAAAGUUGAAAACAAAUUACUAAGUACCAGGAGUUUUGUAACUUGCAAGAAGAAAAGGAAUAAGUGCACAUGAAAUAUCUAAUUCAGCAUCCUUUUCCAAAGCUGAGUAGGUAAUAAUUAAUCUGUAACAUGAGCAGCACCUGAAUCCUGAUCAGCCAAUUCUGCACCAGAGAGACAAAGUCUUCACAUUUCUUUGAACCAUCAGAACUAGUAAGUGCUUUGUUGGUAAUUUCAUCAAGACCCUGCAAAACGAUACUAAGUUAGAGCAGAAGUCCACUGGGAAUGAUCAGAAUAGAUUUAGCUCUCAUCCAGAACAAAAAUAUGAAUCACAUAGUUGCAAAGUUCAUAGCGUAAUAUCUCAUUGCCCACUUUAGCAUUUGAUCCCUGAGUGCACCUUCAGACCUUCUACAUUUACAUCACGGACAAAUUUCAAAAUAUCCAAUCCUGAAACGUCUUUGUUGGGUGAACACUAUGCAUGCUAGACUUAACAGGAAAACCUCAAAAUGUACAAGACAAGAUCCCUAUCUUCAUUAUAUACUUCACCCAUCACCCCACAUUAUUAUCUGAUUGAAUAUUAGGGGGUAGCAGUGGCACCUGACAAACCAUCUGGGUUAUCAAAUGCAAUCCAACUAGAAAUUGUUUUGCUAAAUAUGCAAACUAACAGAUUCAUCAUUUCUCAAGCUAUGAAAUAGUAGUUUAAUCCUAUAAUUGUGCAAACGAGAAACAGAGGAACUAUGGAACAAAGCAUGCUUGCACUAUCUGAACCUGAUAAACAAGUAUGUACAUUACUAAACAUUGGAUCUAACUACAAAGAAAAGAACAGUUGGAAUACGACUAAUGUUCAAUGUUUCUCAGAAAACUCCCAAAAAUGACAGUAAAUUUAAUCAUUCACAAAGCAAGAUUGGAAUACCAAGAAGUCACCACUAACCAUGAAGGAGCUCACAAAUGCAUGUGAAUGAGUCCCACGUAUUGGUAUCCCAAACAAUCUUCCUGCUGCAACAUUGCUGUUCAGGUAGAUAUCAUAUAUUAUGAUGGUGAAAUCAGACUUUCCUUCCAAGUAAAUUUGUAAAAUAAUCUUCUAGCAUUGCAAGAUCAAGUAUACCUACUCAGUUGGAAAAAUAUGUCACCUCGACAUUCUAUAUGUUACUAUUCUAGAGGGUUCAUUUAGAUUGCAUCAGUACCAUAAACAGUCAAACCUAGGCAGACAAAUACCCAGAAGAGCGCAGAAAAUAGCCAAUUUAAGCUAUGAACGAGUCCAAAAAAGAAAAACUCAAAAGGCUAGAUAGAGUCAGAGCAUAUAGUAUUCUAUAACUACAGCACUGUGUUCAUUGAGUGAACAACGCAGACCUUGUUGCAUCAAAGCCUCCCAUAUAACAAUAUCUUGAUGCACUGAUUCCUCCAUCAGGCCCCUGAUAGAUGAGUAUUUAUAGGUCUAACAUACAAAGGUUAAUGGAUGAGCAAGCAAAACAGAAUGAAAAGUAAGACCCACUUGAGCCCGUCGAAGUCCAAAUUCAAGUAAAUUCUUUGACUUUCCAGCUACAAGUCGGUGUCUUGCCGCAUUUGUGGUAACCAGAGAAGCAUAGUUGACCAGACUUAGAAAUGGAGUUUCAAGAAGCUGGACAACCUGGCACAAAAAUCGCAAUCUCAAUGUAUGGGAAAACUGAAAUAUCAAUACAAGUUAAAAAUGUGUCGAUCUACAUCAGCUACUGUUGUGAAGCUUCUACACGCUAACUUACUCCUGGUACUUACAGCAACAGGUCCUUCAAUUCUCAUCAGUGGAACUUUAGGGAACACAACAUAACCCUCGGGUAUGGCAUAAACCUCCACAUCUGAGCAGUCAAUCGAACGGAGGUACUCAAAGAAGCCAUCCUACAAAAAGAGCGGUGACUUGGAAGCAUACAUUAGUUGGUUGCCAGAAGACAGGAAAGAACCAUUAUUAUAAUAUGAAAAGGGCACAGUUGAGCUGCUAAUGAAAACAAAAAAUGUUCUUCAACUGUACAUCAUGCAGAAUUUCCCAUAACAUGAUCCAGUUUUUUCAACAAGACUAGCAAACCCACCUCACAUGUAGGCAUGACAGAUCGCAGAAAUUUGAUUUCAUCCUCCGUGAACUUGAAGUUAGCAAUGAACCUUAUACAUUCCUCGAGGCCACCAAAGAUGGUGAACUCACCGCCAAAUGGACUUUUCCGGAAGUAGAGAUCAAAACUGAAACAAUUUCAGUUCGCAAUAAGUACAGGUGCAAGAGAGUAAAACAUAACUAGAAGACCGAUACAAACAGAAGAAGUGUGACGCUGAUUUACACACUUGCUAAACUACCCUGCAUUGUACCAAGUACCACCUAGAUAAAGCACUUGGCCUAGUGCAAACGGUUUUCCAUUGCAAACAUCUUAGUAAAACAUACUGAAAUGAAACUACCGAGAAGAGCCCAAAUCUGCUCAAGAGUUUAGCAGACCACAAUUAUCACAGUAGCCCAGCCUCUCGCACGAUUUCACAAAAAAAAAAGUAGAAAAAUAAUUCCAAAACACUACCCAGUGACGUCUAAUUCGAGGCGGGACCAUAUCUAUCAUCAUUCAUCCCCUCCUCACUGGCCUAACAAAUCGACCGCUACUCCGCCGGAGGUCAAGUGUAAACUGACACAACAAAUCGAGGGACAGGACAGAGGAGACAAAGGGAGCAUGGGAGAGUUAGGGGUGGGGAGGGAGCAGGGGGCUCAGGGCUAACACUGCGCGGUCGAGGUGCUUGCCGGCCUUCCAGUAGGCGUAGGCCAUGGUGAACUGGUAGAGGUCGGUGAGCAGCGGCGUCACCAUGGGGUUCGUCGGGCGCGGUACCCCGCCGCCGCCGUGGCUGGCGUCCCCGUUCGCCGCCGCCAUGUGUUGUUUUUUUUACCCUUACUGUGGCGCGCGUCUCGUGCUCCUGUGAUGGAGAGGAACGGAGGAACCGAGAGUAAAGCAGGGGAAGAGGAGUGGUGGUGGUGCCGGCUACGGUGGCGGCUCCUGGAAACCUUUUGAGCCGAAACCGAAAGCGAAAAAAGGCCGAGAUCGCGACGACGCGGACACGUGGCGCCCCCACUUUUACUGACGGGCCUGGUUGGCGUAUGGAGAACGCGAAUCACGACUGGGGGUGAUUCCCUGGACCGGAUACCAAAAUAGAAAAAAAAAUCUGCUAGAAACUCCUACUUUAAAAUCACAAAACUUAACAAAAUGGCAGUAAUAAAAAAAUUUGAGACUUAGAUUCUGUUAGUAUCUCAUUCCCUUACAGAUACUGUUCUACAUAAUAGACUUAUCCACAGAAGAAAACGAAGUUAAGGAUAAUCUUCAGUCAUGUGCUAGGCAGAAGAUGAAACCAGCAAAUUGUGCAUUAAAUAUCCAGAAUAAGCCAAACACAGCUCCUUCCUUAAUAGCUGUAACUUAACCUUGGACUAUGACCAAUCAGUGAUCACUAGUGGUUAUAUAGCAGAAAUCAGAAUUGAGAACAGGAUUAGCAUGAGUUGCAGUUCCAACAUCCACCUAAACCACAGAAUGAGAUGUUUACAUUGCACUCUACAGGGAGCACUAGCUGCAGCAUAGGCAUCGGCAAGGCCAGGAACAGAGUCCUUGUGACAGUCGAUGAACUUUGAUUUGAAAGUCUCUUCUGUAUAAUUCACUAAUUGGAAAAGGUUCAUAUCGCUAUCCAGAAAUCCCUUUUCCUGCAGCACUUUCAUGACAUGAUGCCGGGGCACUAGCCGCUUCUCCAAGCUGAAUGCCAGCAGGAUAGGCCUUUGCACAAUAUACGUGGCUCCAUCGCAGCCUCAUUGAUCAGGAACUCAAUCUUGCGAAGAAAAGUGGCAUCAGAUAAUCCUAGUAUCUGUGGCAUCUUGGACACUGCAAUGGAAACUUCAGACUCAGAACAACCAAGAGUCCUCUUCAAGAACUCAAGCUUGGCAGCAACCUUCUCUUUGGAAAGACUGGAGAUAACAGCCACUGCAUGCCUAAACAACCGGGAAGUAGGAGGCACCCCAAGUUCUUCUGCCCGGAGCAAAAACUCCUUCACGCGUUCCGGUUUGAAGGUAAGCACCCACGAUUUGGUUAAACAUAGCUGAGCAAUGUCCUGUACUCCCCACUGACGAAACAAAGCUACGUUGGGCUUGAUUAUCUUCUCAAGGCCCACCGUGAAGGUAAGCACCCAGGAUUGGGCUUGACGAAACAAAGCUACGUUGGGCUUGAUUAUCCUCUUUGCGACCAGCAGGACCCGAUCGAACAAGCCGAAUAAGGAGAUGAAGAACUCAACCUUGGGAGCGACAUCGCAGAUGCUGAGAGCGUGUGAGGCGACCAUGAGGAAGCGAGUGAUCUGGGGAGUAGACAGACCAACGCGGUCACGGAGAUGAAGAAGGCGGGGAGCGAGGUUCUUGGCGGAAGUGCGGAGGAGGAGCGGUUCCGCGGAGACGACGGCUGCGAUGUCGGCGCGGGAGAGGCCAGCGCUGUAGAGCAGGUCGAGGAUGGCAUCGGGGUUGGAGGCGGUGGCUGGAGAAGUCCUUUUUGUAUAGUAAGGAAAGCUUUCUUGGACACCUGGCGAUCUCUGCUAACAACCAUGCAACCGAGGGCAAGAUGGACAUUUCUCCUGCCUGGUCCCACAUGUUAGAGCUGCAAACGGUAGAAAAUAAACAGAAUGACGCACGGGUGUAGACGAAGAUGAAGUUGGACAUACAGGUACCAACGAAUUUUUUAGGGGCAUAGAGGUUCGACCCAUCUUUUAUAAUGGCUUUUAGGUAGAAAGCUCUCGGGGCGAGGCCGCAGGCGGCGACGAGGUAGUCCUCGAGGGAGAAGGGUGCGGGUAAGGUGGUGGAGGUGGAGAGGAGGAGGUGGCAGUAGCACGCGCGAGGGGGGGGGGCGGAUCGGGGAGGGUAGCGAGGAGGCAGCGCGGAGCAGAGGGAGGAGGCGAUUCCGGAGGCACAACAUGGCGACAACGAAGGGGAGGGAUGGACGGAUGGUGUUGUGCUGGGCUCCUGGGAGAAGGAGGCUGUGUGGGUUUGGAAUUCUAGGCCGCCAAACGGGCACAUGAAUUGGGCCGGAUGGACCGGGCCAUCAAAAUCGAAGGAGAGUUGACGAGCCGCAGCGACCACAAUUUGCGUGUGCUACGAAUCCAUCUUCAGUUCCCAUGUCUUGUAGCACAUGCAGUCUCAACAGUUUCCCAUUGUUGUUGAUGUCUCCCUCUCGGUGGGUAGCUGUCACAAAUCGCCCUGUUGUGCUUUCCUAGCCCAACUCAACUCUGUCACGCUUUGUGUAUCUCUUUUUCCCAGAGCGACCGCUGGCAUCAAUCUAGUAGUGUGAUCACAAAAACAUACAAGGUGAGUAAUGAUGCUAAUCACUUCGCACGGCCUCAUGCUUUAUGAAGCAUUUAGGUCGAAUACUCAUUUUAGUCUCUCAACUGUCGCUUGAGGUUUAGUCUUCAUCUCUGAAGUUUCAAAACGAUUUUUUAGGUCUUUAAAAUUUAUUUUUAAGCUCAGUUUUUUUUCCGAGAUCGGGCCAUUCACCCAUUUUUCUUUAAGCUCAGUUUCAUCCCAGGACUAUCAAAAGUGACCAUUUCAAGUGACAAACCUUGAAUUUUGGCCUCAAUUUUAUCCAUGAACUACUAAAGUACACCUUUCAGUCCUCAAGCUUUUCUUUUCAGCUCAACUUUAUCCCUAGUCCUACAUGGAACGCAUGAUGGCAAAAGGCACUGAUCAAGACAAGUCAAGAUGGGGCUAGAUGAUAUUGGGGUGACCCAAUAGCUGUAUUACUCAAGCAGUAGAUCAGUAUUACUUUUGAGUAGCAGCACAUUCUAAGUAACUGGCCAAGCAGUGGCUAAACUCACAUUGAAGUAGUUUGAGAAUGAGGAUAACAAGUCUGUGUCUACUGAUCGCCACUCCAGCUACACGGACGAUGAUAAUCAGGAAUUCACCAAGCCGUCCAAGCAAUCUCAUAGAAAUCCUGACCAGCAUUGUGGUCUGUUGAUUGCCUCAUGUUGCACUUCUAAAAAUGCAUUUUUUCCUCUUCUGGUGGCUCCAACCAAAAAUUAAACCUUCAGCAUUCCAUUAGGAACGUGGGUGAUAACAACUACAUUGCACUUUGAACGCAGUUAUGCCAGAUGGCUGCAGGUUUACAAACAAUCUCUUAAGUUGGACUCUUGUCUCCUUUGCUUUAGCAAUGGAACACAAGUUUGAUAGUGAUGACUGUCACCUUGAUCUCACUGAGUUAACAACAUUGAGGAAAAUUGGCACAGUGAAAGAUUAUGCCACACUCCCUGCCCUUUUCGAAGGUUCUUUGAAAAAAGAAGAUUAUGCCACAUGUUUUGAGGCCUUGCUGUUUCAAGUGCAUGAACAUCAAUCCCUACGGAUCAAUCUAGCAAUCAACAUAUAUGAUGGGCUUUUCUUUGUAUCUCAUCUCACUGAAUGAUGAAUAGCUUUUGAGGCCUUGUUGUUUCAAGUGUGCAUGCACAACAACAAAUAUGAUGACCUUUUCUUUGUAUCUCAUCUGACUGAAUGAUGAAUGAAAUUAAGGAUGAUAUAUACUAGGGCUAUAGUGAAAGCACAUGUAGAACUGACAGUGGAUAAAGCAUUUAUCAUUGCCAAAAUUCAGCAGAGCCUGUUGGAGAGAACCAAAAGUACAGGUCCUCGGAAAUAUGCACCUUUUAAUAGAACUGCCCAAUAAGCACCCAAGUACAACCAGAAACCCCAACCACAUAUUGGCAAUCUCUAGAAAGAAAGGCAACUCAUGCUUUAAUAGUUAAUGAUCUGGAUCAGCCACUAUCUGAUGAUAUCUUGAACCAAUUGGUUGUCGAAGAAGCACUUGCUGAAGACUUUUACCACCUCUCAUUAUAUGCCAUGACUGCAGCUGACAACUGGGUGCAUCAAAUCAAAUUACGAUUAUUCAUGGGCAACAAGGCUGUGCUUAUGUUACUAGACAGUGGACAGUCGCAGUUCUCAUUCAUUUGUCGGUACUGCUUUUGUUUCCAAAGCUAGGUUACCAAUUAUAUAGGUGUCACCAAAGUGUUAAGUUACCUAGUGAUUAUCAAAGAGAGUUAAGUUACAUAAUUGUGCCUAAAUUACCAAUGACAGUGUUGGAUCUGGAGGUCUAUGAUACUACAUUGGGGUAUGACUGGCUAAAAGCACAUAGUCCCAUAACAUAUCGAAAGAUACGGUUGAAUUCUAGUCUAAAAUUCCUAUCAUUUUUCUAUUUCAGCUGGUUUUAUAUCCCAAAAUAUGUGCUUCUCUGCUAGGGACUGCAUCUAGAAAGUGAACUUUGCUUGUUCAUGGUUGAACUUUAUAUUUGUGUUACCUGUUCUAUAAUGCAGUAACCAUGCACCUAGAUGUUUAGAGGUGAUGCAUUGUGGUAGAGAAACUUUUAUAUGCUCUUUGAAAAAAAAAGAAAAUGAACAAAAGAACACGCUUACAAGUCACAUUUAUUUUUAGCAUUGUUGGUUUACUUGGCCUCCAACGUGUAUGUUAUGAAGCAUCUUUAUUCAUUGGUUCAGGUAAUGUUUACUAUUGUGAACAGAGUUGUGUUAUCAUGUUGACGUGCGCCUGUUUGGUUCAUUGCCCGACCUCCAAACCACCAUUGGCUAGGCCCUGUGCAUGAAAGAUGGUGUUGUUUGGUUACUUGGCUUAGUUCAACCAGGACACAAGGAGCAGAUAUUUGGUUACCUGUAUCAGAUUCAAAAUGGCAAUAUGCACGAAACUUGUUUUGUUGACUGCGUAUAGGUUGGAGUUACCACUUGCUUGCACUGGUAAGACCACUCACAAUGCAAGACUCUAUCACAGAGUCCAAGACAAUUAAUUACAUAUUAUUUAUGAUAUUUUGUUGAUAUAACAGUAUAUUUAUUGAAGAAAGAGGUAGAAAAAAUAAGACUCCAAGUCUUAUUUAGACUCUAAGUCUACAUUGUUCGAGGUAAUAAAUAACUUUAAACUCUAUGAUAGAGUCUGCAUUGUGAGUGCCCUAAGCUCACCACCAGCUAGUCUAAGAGGGUUACAACAGAAAGAUUGCUUUCAAUAUUACAUCAAGUUUGAAAGCAAAAUUACAAACACUAAAGCUUGGACUAAUAUUAUUGCACCCUCCACUAAAAUUAUAAUAUCUUUCCAUGUCGCACCACCCCUCUUUAGAUUAGCUACUGCAGGCUCUGGUUCAUUUGCACGAGUAUCAGUCAUGCGAACAUCGCCAGCAACUUCUUGGGCAAUAAUCCUAGCAGGUGCCACAAGGGAAUCUGUAAACGUAGACUUGCCUACAAGAAUUAAUAAUACUACCAUAUAAGAACGAUGUGGAACUUCAAUAUGUGCAACAUAGAGUAGUACAAUAUUAGGGACAGACAAGCAAAUCAAAAGUUAACAAACACACCAGUAGAUUACAGUCUAGAGUAUAUAGCUAUUAAUUGAUACCAUAUAAAACACAAAAGAUAAAUACCUGAACACAAGUAGUUAGCUAGGCCUAAAAUAGAUAGUGCAACAAGAAAUGAAACAUCUGUUGUAAAAAAAUACAGAUCUUAAUUUUACUUUUUACGGUAGUAGAGCUUAAUAUUGAAAACACCAAAUUAAUAACACACAAGUAUAUUUAAUACAUACAGCCAAUAGAUAAUAUAUAUGACAAUACCUAGAGAAAACGAAUACACUAAAUACAAGAUGAAAAUAAACAAUAAGCCUAUUUCAUACAUGGGAUAGAUAUCUGUGACUAUUGAAACAAUAAGCCUAUAGUAGAUAAUGCGGCAUGAAUAGAACCAUCAGCAGUCAAGCACAGUACAGAGCUUAAAUAUUGAAACAGAACAAGUCUUGACAUAAAAAAGGCUUGAGCAUUGUUACCAAUUUUGUUCUUUUUGUCCAUAAUUUUGUUCUUUUUGUCCAUAAUGACACGGAGAUCUUCAGCCGAGAACUUCACCAUCUUGACUUCUUAUGAAGAUCACACUACCAAUUCCACUAUUUAAUCCUGUUGUUGAAGGUUUGGGUAUUAAUAAGAAUCUAAUAAAAAACAUGAGAAAAUAACUAAACUGGAAACUUUGACACUGACACCGGUAGCCAAAAAGUAAUAACCACUAUAGUUGUCCAAUGUCAAAACCAAAGGAACUUGAAAAUUUUAGAAAGUUAAUAAAAUGUUUUAACAUGCAUUAUUUGUCAGGAUACAAGUAUUCCCUUGUUUACACCACACUCACACUUCACAGGAUUGUAAGCACAAAAUCUAAGAAAAAGGUAAACUGAAAACCAUGAAUGAUGUAUCUUAGUUGAACAAUCUAAGAUCUACUAUCAGAACAGCACAACUUAUAUUCUUUAAAAACAGACCAUCGAGGUAACAGACACGAAACAAUCGAAUAAUAGCAAUUUAGGCUCGAGGCACUUCCAUAUGCAUGCGCGGAUAUGGACACAGUAUCAUGAGAAUGCGGAUAUGAAGAUACGAUUUUUUUUCCAGAAAACAUGAUACAGGCACAUAUAGUAGGAAAUUAGAAUUGUCCUGUAUCCUAAAAGCAGUUGCAACUUAGCAGUAACAUAAAAAUUGGCCUGUAUUCCGAUUGACCUGUUGUAGGUGCUGAAUCCCGUCUCCAAUCUUACAAGUGACAAAGACAGACAAUUCAUCAACUAAUGAAUAUAAAGGACAGGAUCCCGUCCACGAUCUUACAAGUGACCAGACAAAUGAUGGACAAUUAGUCGAUUUACCGUGGGCUGCGUGCGGUGGUGGCAGCUGCUGCUCGUCGCAACUCGCACGUGCUAGGGCUCGCUGCCGGCGCAGAGGCUGGCGGGUGUAUAUAUAGGUGGUAUAUAAUGGGCCAAACAGUGACCAGCCCACAUACUUAAGUGGGCCAAGACAUAUUCUGGUCUGAAAUUCCUGACAUUUUCCUAUUUCUGGCUUGUUUUGAAUCCCAGAAGACGCGCUUUCUGCUAGGGACUGCAUGUAGCAAGUGAUCUUUGCCUGUUCAUGACUGAACUUUAAAUUAGCACCGGUCUGUAUUUAUUUCUAUAAUGUAGUACCACCAUGCACCUUGUGGUAGAGAAACUUUUAUAUGCUCAUUGAAAAAAAGAAUAUGAAUGAAACAACACGCUUACAAGUCAGAUUGCACUAACAUUGUUGGUUUACUUGGCCCUCAGCGUUUAGGUUGUGAAGCAUUCAUUGGUUCAAGCAGUGUUUACAGUUGUGAACAGAUGUUAUCAUGCUUUCACAUACAAAACCCUGGGCACACCUUUGCCGGCGCUAGAGUUUAUCUCUCGAAUCUGUCAAUCAUUCAGCAGUAUUUUUCUCUCACAAUAAAUUAGCAAAUAGUAUUUUUAUCCAUGGCUUUUCUGUCAAGCAAACGUCACUCUGCGCUUCUACUUUUACUUGUUUAAUUGGCAAAAUUUUGGAAUUUCGGAUACCAUAGCACUUUCGUUUUUAUUUGACAAAUAUUAUCAAUCAUGAACUAACUAGCCUCAAAAGAUACAUCUUACAAAUUACAGACAAACUGUGUAAUUAGUUUUUGUUUUCAUCUAAAUGUGAUAGGGAAUCUAAAAUUUUUGGCAAAACUUUUUGAAACUAAACAAGGCCUAACAUACCGACAGUCCACAGAUUACACAUACAUACAAACAAAGAUGAACAGAUAAGUCUUCAAAGUAAUAAGCAAGUGGUGUAGCAAGCAUGAAAAAGCCAACAACGUUGCUAAUGAGCUACAGACUACACAUACAAACAAAGAUGAACAGAGUAAAUAAGCAAGUGGAGUAGCAAGCAUGAAAAAGCCAACAACGUUGCUAAUGAGCUAGCUCGGCAAUGUCUCUAGAGUCUUGUAUUUGGGUUGAACCCUCUAGUUAUAUUUUUCAUCUUUAAGCAAACGAUAUAUCAAUUUUCUAAAAUGAAUAAAGCUUAGGAUGUGUUUAAUAAAAAAAAAGAGGGGGGUGGGGGAGUUGCAAGCAACCAAACAUGCUGAUCUAAGUAUUGGAUGACAUCAUGCAUAAUGCAUCAAAGUACAUACCUAUUGCUAAUUUUGUGGAUUUAGAUCUACCUCAAUUCUAACCUACUACAAUCAACAUGGAUACAAAACAAUACAAGAAUCAAGAGCUGCAAAAAAUGACUAUAUACUUCACAAAGAAAAGGCAAGGAAACAACGAGCAAAAGGGUUAACUGUCUGACAGAUCAUGCACAGCGUUAAUAAGACAGUGGAUAUAAGAAAUACACCCGGAAAAUAAGUAUAUAACCAAUUACUAAACCAAAGAUACCACCUCUGUUUCAUCUGCUACAUCAAAACGGAUAUCAAAAUAGUGUCUCAGGCUCUCAGCACAGAUUGACAAACUACAUGAUGACCAAUAUAGUUCAGAGACAGGUGCAUUCGACAACUAAAACGAAGCAAAAUAUUCAAGUCGUUCCCAUUACAGUACACGAAUUGACGAUUAAACCAGCAGGUGUAACAGUAGAACAAACAACCAAAAAUUUAGAGCUUGUCCUCAAACUCAGAGAGAGGGGUCAUCUGUUCCUUGAGACCCUUCCUCUUGCGGAUAUCCAGCACCAGCUGAGCAGCCUGGGAGCCAGCCUCCAAAGGAUCAGAGCCCAUCAUGUCCCAAUGGUCAAAGACACACUGGGGGAACGCCUGACCAGAGGUUGCAGCCCUCAGUUGGCUGGAGAACCCAAACGACUCGAUGACAGGGAGGUAAGCCUUGAUGUUGUAGAGCGGGGUACCCGGCCUCUGCAUCUCCUCAAACACAUGCCCUCUCUUCUGGUUCAGAACACCGUAGAUACCACCAAGUGCAUUUUCUGGGGCCUGAAUCUCCACCAGGUACACUGGCUCCAGCAGCCUUGGCUUGGCCGUGAGCUGAGAAGCAUAGAUGACCCUCCUGGCAGUUGGGAUGACCUGGCCACCACCCCUGUGGAUAGCAUCAGCAUGAAGAACGACAUCACAGACCUCAAAGCAAAUUCCGCGCAUGUUCUCCUCAGCCAGUGCACCCUCCUUUGAUGCCCACUGGAAACCAGCCACGACAGAAUCCUUGAUUUCAUUGAGAUACUGCACUCCCUUACACAUAUCAACAACCAUGUUUGGGCCAGUGGUCUCAGGUCCAAAACACCAAAUCUUCUUGGCGAGAUCCUUGUCCCACCCAAACUCCUGAGAGAGGAUCUGGGAGCGCACCUUAGGAUCAUCACGUGGGCCAAUGCGGCCAUCAUCGAUGGCCUCAGCGAGACCCUCCUCCAAGGGGCGUGCUUCCAUGUACAGACGGUUGUGCUUGUUGGGAGACUUGCUCAUGACAGUACGGCAGGACUUCUCAAGAACGGUUUCCCGGAAGGACACAACAGGAGGGGAAACAAUAAUUUCAGCACCACCCAUGAAGUCCUCCUGCAGAUCCUUCAGGCAAAUCUCAAGAUGAAGCUCACCAGCUCCAGCAAUGAUAUGCUCACCAGACUCUUCGAUUGUACAGAGAACCAUAGGAUCAGACUUCGCCAGACGCUUCAAACCUUCGACUAGCUUGGGAAGGUCAGAGGCAACCUUGCACUGAACAGCAACACGCACAACAGGGGAGACAGAGAACUUCAUUGCUCUGAUCGGGCAUGCAUCAACCUCCUUCUCAUUAGUGAGUGUAGCGUUCUUCGUGAUGAACUGGUCCAGACCAACCAUAGCAACAGUGUUGCCACAAGGAACAUCCUCAACUGACUCUUGUUUCUUUCCCAUCCAGAUAACGGUACGCUGGACACUCUUCACAUACAGAUCCUUCUUCUGCCCAGGGACAUAGUUGGGACCCAUGAUCCGAACCUUCAUACCAGUAGCAACCUUCCCUGAGAAGACACGACCGAAGGCAAAGAACCUGCCCUUGUCGGAUGCUGGAAUCAUCUUCGAAACAUACAGCAUAAGAGGGCCCUCCGGAUCACAGUUUCUGAUGGCAGUUGCAUAGACAUCAUCAAGGGGCCCCUCAUACAAGUUCUCCACACGAUACUUUUGAGCCUUUGCCGGGGAAGGAAGGUGGAAUAUCAUCAUCUCGAGCAGUGCAGUGCUUGCUGGUAGCCACGUUUGCAUAACACGCUUCAUCAAAGCUUUGCCAAUCAAUUCCUUCUCAUCAGACUUCAUGGUAACAUUGAGCUUUUGCAGCAUGGGCCACAAUUUCUCCUUCUGGUCGUUCAUGCAGGUGUUGAUGAUUUGCUUGAUUGGCUCAUAGCAGAACUGAACAAAUCCUCUCUUGCAGGUAGGGGAGCCUGUGUUCUUGGUUGUCCAUUUCUUGGUGGCAGGGUCAAAGAAGUUCUCACCCCAAAGCCUCUCCAUCAUCUUAGAUUCAUCAACUCCAAACUUAGAUGCAUACAUCUUGGCAAAGUUAGUGAGGGUAAAGGCCCAUCCGUGCAGACCAGCAGAAAAAGCAACAGUCCCCUUCUCUGGGUACACUUGGACGUCACCAAGGAGCUUAUCUUCGUAUGUUGCCAUGAUGACAUUGGCAUUCUCAAUGACACGGGAGAAGGUCUGGUAAGCUUCCUCGCCCUCAACCUGAAGCUCAAGGAAGCACCUGUCCAUCUUGUUCACGGUAAGAACUGGCCUAAUCCUCUCACCAAGGGCUUGGCGAAGCACAGUUUCAGUUUGCACACAGACACCUUCAAUACAGUCAACCACCACAAGAGCACCAUCGGUGAUGCGAAGAGCAGCUGUGACUUCCGAAGAAAAAUCAACGUGCCCAGGCGAGUCAAUAAGGUUGAUCAGGUAUUGGUUACCAUCUCUCUCACCCUUGUAAUUCUUCAGUGACUCGUCAGUCAUCUCAUAGUAAAGAGAGAUACCGGUAGAUUUGAUUGUAAUACCACGCUCUGCUUCAUCUGCACGAGUAUCAGUCAUGCGAACAUCACCAGCAACUUCCUGGGCAAUAAUCCCAGCAGCUGCCACAAGGGAAUCUGUAAGCGUAGACUUGCCUGCAAAGAAUUUAUAAUAGCAUAUAAGAACAGCAAGGAAAUUCAACAUGUGCAUCAUAUGGUAGUACAAUAUUAGGGACAGACAAGCAAAUCAAAAGUUAACAAACACAGUAGUAGAUUACAAUCUAGAGUAUAUAAUUAUGAACAGAUACUAUGUAAACCACCAUAUCUAAAAUAUACAAUGUAUUUCCUACAUGUGAUAAAUAUCUGAACAUAAGCAGUUAACUAUGCCUAAAAUAGAUAGUGCAGCGAGAAAAGAAACAUUAGCUGUAACAGAGCUUAAAUGUUGAAAACAUAAAAGUUAACAACUCAGUAGUAGUAUAUUACAAUCUAAUACAUACAGCCAGCAGAUAGUAUGUAUACCACAAUAUCCAGACAAAAGCAAUACAUUAACUGUAGAUGAAAAAAGCAAUUAGGGGAUAAAUGUCUGUGAUAUAGGCCUAUAGUAGAUAAUGCAGCAUGAAUAGAAGCAUUAGCACUCAGGCACAAUAGAGAGCUUAAAUAUUGAAACAAAAUUAAUCUUGACAUCAAAAUCAAAAAGGCUUGAAAACAUUAAGGAAUGCAUGUAUAUAUAUGCUAUCUAACAGAGCAGUGUUCUGAACAUACCAUGGUCCACAUGAGCAAUAACAGACAUGUUACGAAUGUUGUUCUUUUUGUCCAUGAUACCACGGAGCUCUUCAGCUGUGAACUUCACCAUCUUGACUUCUUAUAAAGGUCACGCUACGAAUACCAAUAUUUAUUCCUGCAGUUGAAAGUUCAGGUAUUACUAAGAAUACAAUAAUAAACAUGAGAAAAUAACUAUACUGAAAACUUUGACAUUGACAUCAGCAGCAAAGAAGUAAUAACCACUACAGUUGUCAGGAACAAAGAGAGGGAAAUUAUUAACCAUUUCAGAAAGUUAAUAAAAAUGUUUUAACAUGCAGUAUUUGUCAGGAUACAGUAUUCCAUUAAUAUACACCAUACUCAUACUUCACAGGAUUGUGAGCACAAAAGGCUAAGAAAAAAGUAAACUGAAAACUCAUACUUCACAGGAUUGUGAGCACAAAAGCCUCGUUAAUCUAAGAUCUACAGCACAACUUAUUUUCCUCAAAAAAAAGAGAGAGACCAUCGAAGUAACACACGAAACAAUCAAAUAAUAGCAAUUUGGGCUCGAGCCGCUUGCAUAGCAUAUGCACGGAUAUGGACACAGUAUCAGGAGGAUACGGAUAUAGAGAUACGAUAUUUUUUCUUUCAGAAAACAUGAUACGAGCACAUAGCAGGAAAAUAAAACUGUCCUAUAUCCUAAAAGCAGUUGCAACGUAGCACCAAUAACCAAAAAAAUGCAGUUUAUUGCGGUUGACCUGUUAUAGCUGCUGGAUCCCGUCCACGAUCUUACAAGUGACCAGACCAAACAAGUGACCAGACCAAACAGACAAUUCGAGUAACUAAGAAUAAGGACAGGAUCCCGUCCACAAUCUUACAAGUGAUCACAGACAAUUCGACUAAGGGACAAGGGACAGUAACAGGGUAAGGGAGAGGGGAAAGAGAAGAAGCUGUUUUGUAGUCGAUUUACCGUGGGCGUCGCCGGAGAUAGAGCUCGCUGCCGGCGCCGGAUCGCGUCGCAGGCGCGGGGGCGGGCGGCGGCUGCGGUGCGGUAGAGAUGGGUGACUGGGGGAGGUGAGCAGAGAUAGGGUUUUCUGUGCUCUUUGUAUAGUAUAUAUAUAGGGGGUUAAUGGGCCAAACGUUUAACGGCCCACAAACUUAAAUGGUCCAAGAGACGUUGGCCCAAAUAUCCGAUUUGUUGAAAAAAAUUAUAAAAUCGGAUUUAGGUGUUCUCUUAUAAAAUUGCAAAACUAGCAUCUUGUCGCUAUUCAACGGCCGAUAGGACACCUGUUGGCUAUCGAAAACUAGUUGGUCCUCCAAUCGGCUCGUCAUUGGCCGAGGCCAGUCUCUUUACUAUUUUGGUUUUAAGAAAUUUUUUUAUAUUAGCCCUUGUUUAGUUUCCAAAAAGUGCAAAAAAAAAUUCAAGAUUCUCCGUCACAUCAAAUCUUACGGCGCAUGCAUGGAGCAUUAAAUAUAAACAAAAAUAAAAUUAAUUGCACAGUUUACCCGUAAUUUGCGAGACGAAUCUUAUGAGCCUAGUUACUCUAUGAUUGACAAUAUUUAUCAAAUACAAACGAAAAUGCUACAGUAGUGUUUUCCAAAAAAAAAUUGGCAACUAAACCAGGCCUAAGCAAAAUAUAUAAAGACCCCCAAAAAAUUAUUAACAAAUAGUUCAGCUAAUCUUUUUAGGAUCUGUUCAUCGAUGGUUUAACAAAUCAAAUGUGAAUAAAUAGUACGCAUGCCAUUAGUGGAAACCCUACGUGAAAAAUAGUCUCUCUCACAUCAUAACCAUUAGUUGACGUAUUAUUUGAUAUAUUGACAACUAGCUUCUCGUCGCCUCCAGCAUGAACAAUCAUGAGCUCUAGAAUUUUUUUAGCCCAAUAAACUAAUAUUUUUAAAAAACAUCACAACUAAAUUUUUAGAAACUACUCGAUAUGGAUUUUGUGCUAGUCAUUUUUUUAGGUUUGAUUAGGUUUUAAAAAUAUUAAAAAUAUUUUUAUCUUUAAUAAUUUUAUUAUGAAAAAUAUAUUCAAUGACUUAUCUAAUGGUACUAAUUCUGCAUGACAAAUAAUAUUAUUUUCUUACAUAUAUUUUAUCAAAGUAAAAAAAUGACUUAUCGAAAGAUAGAGGAAGUAGCUCUUUUAGCCACGUCAAAAUUAAACUGCCAUCCGUCAAUCUUUUUUCAAUCAUCCAUUUUAUCGGCCGAGCAUCUCCCAUUUUUCUUAUAUAAAAUACAAAAAAAAAAUCCGGACUCACUUCCUCUACCUUUGUCGAUCGUGCAUCACACUAUAAAAAGAGCGAGUUUUUUUAGGGAGCUCUCCCUCUCUAAUAACCGUUCGAUCUAAACGUCGUGCUAUAUGUGCCUUCUGUCACCCGUGAUCUUACAUAAUAUAAGAUAUAAGAUUCCUCCUAAACCAAGAUUCCUCCUAGAUUCCAAAAACGGAAUAUAAUAGUCCAUAUUUGCAUAUUGGAGUCCAAUUCCAAUCCGCAUGCAUAGCUUUUCUGAUUUUUUAAGUCCAAUUCAUUAGCCGUUUCGACUUUUUUAAUUUCAAGAAAGAAUUAAGAGCAUAUUUUCUUUUUACCGUGCAUGCUUAAGAUCGGGCAUGCAUGAUCACUUGUUCAAGAAUAUACAUACAAGAUCUACCGGCAAUAGGAAGUCAAAUCAAAUUGAGAUAUAUUCACGCCAAUUUUAAAAAAUCAACCUAUUCAUGACAAUGUGGUAUGAGAUGACCCGUAUGAAUUCUCCUGCGUGAAUAGCGUUGAUCAUGAUUGGUCUUUGAGUCAAUCGGCAACGAAACAAACUUAAUUGGAGAGGCUAGAGCUGGGUUAAGGAGAAAUCUUGGUUUAAUAGGAGUCUUGUAUCUUUCAUGUAAGAUUGAUUUUCCUUUUUUAGGUAUACGAGGAAUCUUGGUUUAGAAAAAGUUUUACAUUUUACAUAUAAGAUCACAGAUGACAAAUGACUCAUAUAGCACGACAUAUAGAUCGAACAGAGAGCCUCCUUGAAAAAACUCACCGCCGCUGGCCGCGGAUUGUUCGAAAAAAGAAAAAAUAAUAUACAUCAAGAUGCAUACAUGCAACUAAUAAAUAAAUUAAUUGGAAAAAGAAAAAUAUGGAUGCGUGGAUGCAACUAUAAUAAAUAACAUCAAUAUGAAUGCAUGCUGGCGUAUGUAUUAGCAAUUAAAAAGAAAAAUAAAUUUGAACACACGUGAUUUUAUUUAUUAUGAUAAACAAGAAAGAAAAAACUAGCAAACGUUUUACAUUGUUUAUAGUACCAUAUUAUGAAUGAAUAAGUGAAAAUAAAAUCAAGGAACAUCUGAUAAUACAAACACGUGCGUGACGCACGUGCAUAUUUGCUAGUGUUUGAAAUCUCCCACUAUAGGUUUCUGCUCGGACUGGGUUCAGCUGAUUAUGAAGUGCGUUAUCUCUGUGUCGUAUCGGCUGAAAGUAAACGGCAACCGGUCUAACAGUUUUGUGCAAGAGCCUGGUCUACGGCAGGAGGAUCCACUCUCCUCCUAUCUAUUCCUACUCGGUGCAAAAGGCUUCAGUGGUUUUGUUGAAGGAUGCUGAACCAAGGGGUAUGAGAGUGUGUCCGAGAGAAUGCCAUGCAUUUGAAGUCUAUUCUACAGCUGUAUGAGAGUGUGUCCAGGAGAAGUCUGCUGUUCUCCAGUCAAAAAAUUGAUGAACCCUGAUUCGCUAUGUGCCCAAGUGCUGCGAGCAAGAUACUUCUCUGAUGGUGAUGUGCUACGAGCCAAACCGAAGAGGAUCAUGUCCUAUACUUGGCGCAGUAUCUUGGCCGGGAUCGAGGUGCUUAAGAAGGGACUGAUCUGGACAAUUGGUGAUGGAAUAACUACCGCUACAUGGACUGAUGAUUGGAUUCCAAGGGAUCAUUUGAGAAAACCAUACACGCCGAGGGCUGCUGACACGAGUGCAUGAACUUCUUGAUCCAACAAUGGACUGAUGAUGUGCUACUUUUUGGCAGGAAGACGAGCGAGGUCAUAUUGAGCAUCCCUGUUCAUGACAGGGAAUGGAUGACAUGAUUGCUUGGCACUACAACAAGACUGGCAUCUCCUCUGUAAAGUCGGCCUACAAAAUCCAAGUUGCCAACAGGGAAAAAAGCAAUGCAGAGCUAGGAGUGGUGGGUCAGUAAUGCUAAUGGCGAUCAGCUGUGGAAGAAGCUAUGACAAGUAGACUGUCCAAAGAAAAUGUUGCACUUUAUGUGGAGACUGUGUCAUAAUAGUUUGGCCUUGCGUGUCAACCUAAAACGCCAGGGUAUCAAAUUGAAUCCCUGCUGUGUUCUCUGUGGGCGGUGUCUGGAUGAGGAUGGAGCUCAUUUAUUUUUCAAGUGCAAAGAUGCAAAGAGAGUAUGGGAAGAUAUGCAGCUCCAUGGUGUGAGGGAUCGGCUUGCACAAGCCAUCACGGCAGUUCUGAAACUGAAGGAAGAAGUGCAGCGAAGGGUGAUUACUUUCAUGUACAUUUGGUGGUCGGAACAAUGCAGAGUUCACGAAGGGGAUGCACAAAGGAGUCCAGAACAGAUCGUCCAGAUAUACUGUAAUAGUCAGUUGCUACUCCGAAGAAUGGGCUUCUCUGAAGAAUAUUUAGGCAGCACCUAUCUCCACUAUAAUUGAAAAACUUUUUGGAACCAGACAAACUUACUCCCCCAACAAACUCAUCCCACCGCAGUCCACUAAUCCGGCCCACUAAUGUUCACCGUAACCAAUCCUCACGCCGCGGUCUCUCCAGGUCAAUCACGGUUCAUCUCAAAAUUGAAUCCACUCCGCCUGCCGUCCAUUUGAAACCACCACCUGCCGUUCAUUUGAAUCCACUCAUCUGCCGCCACAAUCUACGCCUCCCUUCCUCUUCCAGCGUACCAGCGAUCUACGUACAAGCAGAGCACAUACAAGCAGGACACCGCCAAGAGCACGUACUUGACGUCGGCGCCGCCACAUCUACUCUUGUCCUCCACAACGACACGGCGGACGGCAGGGAGACGGACUUUGGAUCGGCAACAGUCAGGUGAUUUUGUGAUUCAUAUACAAGAGCGUACAAACGGUAAAAAAAUAUAAUGCUUUUGCAGAUUAUUUUUGGCUUUUGAUCUUUAGUGUAGACUGUAGGUUACGUUUUACUACCUGCAGGCAAUUUUUUUAUCUUCCUCUAAAUAAUACAAGUAGUAACUAAUAGUACAAGUAUGCGCCGAUCAUUAUAGUGCUUAGGUGUUGCCCCUGCUGCAUGUCAUAAAUUAAACCAUCUAAUCGUCUUGCUUAGGUCCCUGACGGCAACAUGAAACCAUUAGUGAUCUCAGCAUGCAUGGUCCUGUAGUAUAUGCAUAUACAUCUGAAUGGUUGCAUGUACAUCUAAAUCUAUAUACAUAUACAUCUGAAUUAUUCCAUGGUUUCAGAUAUUUUACAAUAGUUGGAUCAUGAAUCAUUUAACAUGGAUUCUGAAUGGUUCCAUGGUUUCAGAUAUUUUAUAUCUGAAAUAUUAUUAAUAUUUUACAAGAGGAAAAAGAGUUGGAUCAAGAAUUAUUUAAUAUGGGUAUUCGGAUGCUCGCGCGCUGACAAAACAAAAAUACCACCUCAUGGAUCUUAAAUUUGUUGUAAGUUGUUAUAUAUAAAUCAUUAUAAAAUAGUAUAAUUCAUUAAAAAUUGCUAAUUUCUACAAAUUCAACAGGAAAUAAUUAGGUUUGAAUGAGAUCCACGAUGUUGUGGACCGGUUAACAAAGUAUAUUAAGAAAAACUGAAAAAAGUACUUGAGUGUUGGCCUGACAUACAAUAUCACAUAAAUGACUGUAGCAAUGUAAGUUAAGUUUUAUUUACUAUAUACUUUGUUUAAUUAAUUUUUUGCACUUACCAAUCAAAUAUUCUAUUUAUGUGUCUUAGAUUCUACUACCGUAUUAUCGAGACGGACUGUAUAUUUUAUUCAUAAUAGACAUGUAAAACAAAAUUGUGCGUAUUAUGGAUCCACUACAAAGACAAACUGCUUUGGCUGGUUUUAGUCAAGAUAUGGUAUAUACAACUACAUUCCAAGCUAUUGCUACAAUGUUCACGUUCGCCAUGAAACUAUCAAAAUCAAAGAGGAACCACUGUAUAUCUUCAUGGCGGCGAGAAUACCCUGCAUGCGUGACAAAGGUUACAUCAAACCACAAAGACUGGUAUUACUUUUGGUUCAACUUUGUUUUAGUUGUAACAAAUAUUUCAGUUUUGUAUGCCAAAUAAACAAUUGAUCUUGUACAGGAACUGGGAGGAUUUCUUGUAUACAAUUUCACGAAGUUGUGGGAUGAUGUAAAAUUGUCACCGAUCAAUAAUGUAAGCAUAUGCAGUCUCCAACUAUAUUUGCAUCAAUACACGAUUAAAUAUUAACAUAAUAAUAUCUGUCAUUCACAGCUGUCAAGAUCACUAAGGACGGAGUUCUUGGCUGACAUUUUGGCGAGUCAUGCAAACAAGUGCUACGACAACAUCCCUGAAGAUAUCCAAUAUUUGAUUAAAAAGUUAGGAAAAUGUAAAGAUAUCUUUAUGUACUGAUGGUUCAUAAAAUGUAUAUAGACUCAAAAACAAUUGUUCAAAAUUAAAAUUCUAAAAAAAUUACUAUGAUUUAUAUAGCAUUUCCUAGCCUUUUCUCCGUUCUGACAAACAUGUAGGGUUAGUCGCGUGCCACCGCUUCUCCACGAGUCGGAACGGAGACACUAGGUCUUGUUUACUUCUAUUUUUUUUUAAAUAGGAAUAGUAACAUUUUCGUUUGUAUUUGACAAAUAUUGUCCAAUUAUGUACUAACUAGGCUCAAAAGAUUCGUCUCAUCAAUUUCGACCAAACUGUAUAAUUAGUUUUUAUUUUUUAUCUAUAUUUAAUACUUCAUGCAUACGUACUAAACAAGGCCCUGAUCCCCUUCUCUCCUUGCACCUAUAACAUGCUAGGGGCAUGUUAGUCUUUUUUUACGAGUGGCCCCAUUCGACGGUUCACGGUCUGUUUAGAUUCAAAUCUUUACAUCUUAAAUAGGUGUUUAAAUCCUUCUUAAAUUUUUUUUAUCUGCAACACAAGACACGAGUCCCUAAGCAAGUUUACACAGUUUUAGGGCUCUAAGAGCAUCUCCAAGAGAUUAGCCAAAUCAUUUUCUAAAGGUAAAUUUGGCUAUUGUUGAAGGAAAAACUUCUCCAACAGAUUUUGUAAAUGACGGUUCAAAUUUAGCAGCUCUCCAUUCCACCUUAUUCGCUCUCUACUUUUAGAUAGCCUACCUCACUAGUCAUUCUUUUAUACAGUCUGUUGGAGUACUCUAAUAUCUUUUUAUCAAAUCUAUUUUAGAGAGCAAUUAAAUCAGUAAAUUUGCCUAGUCUUUUUGGCUAAUCUCUUGGAGAUGCUCUAAGGUCCCAAAUUCCAAAUCUUUACAACCCAAGUUUUACAAGCCCAUGUUUAGAUCUAUUCUUCCAAAAAAUACUCAUUUCUCUAAAAGUUUUGGCUGUAUCUAAACAGGGCCUCGAUGUUAUGGUAGUGUCAUUUUGGGAACAGAAAUUUUAAGGAAGGGUAAAAGAAAGAUUUGAAGUUUCGAUGUCAAAUGGGGAACAACAUUUUUUUAAUGUCAAAUAAGGAUUUUUCUCAUUUAUAGAACUGAGUUACGAUUUUAUAAACAAAUUCAUGCAUGCAUUAAACCCGUCACCUGAGAUAAACCAAAGGAGCACAUACAAAACUAGACAAAACGACCCAAUAAAAAUAGGAAUGAUUCCUAACUCAUGUUCUUAACAAGUAAUUACCCUAUAUCCAAAACUAGACAAGGAAAAAUACGACUGUCCAAGAAAUUGCUUAACUGAUAUCCUAGCUGAUAGCUACAACAUCCAACCCAAAAAUGAGGGUAAUUUUUUGUUGCUCAUUGUCAAGCCAACGUCCAGGCCUAAACUUCACACUCCAACAGAGCCUAGUGUAAUAGCCCAAAAAUUUCUAACCUACCAUGAAUCACACAUGUGCAACACAUUUAGCAUACAUUUGAAUGUUUUUAAUUUAAUUUGAAAAUAAUCCUAAAUUUGAGCAUGCUUCAUUAAGGAACUUUGAGUUUCACUUAAACAUGCAUGCUAAGAAAUUACAUGACAAACUACUAUUUUUCAAACUAUAAAAAUAGAUAUUUUUUCUUGAUUUUUGCGAAAACAUUUUAGGGCUAAAUAGCUUAACCAAAAUCUUAAACAUAAGUAUAUAACAUUAAGCAAAAUUACAAAGGUUAUUAUGAUGCAAGAUAAAAGUAAAAUGGGCCAUGCAUGUUUUUUGGCAUCUACCUAAAAAGUUAUAAGAUUUUACGAGAUUUCUCUGUACAACCGAAUCAUAAAUAUACGCGGCUCAUCAUGGACACAUCCCAAAAAAUUUGGCCAUUUAAACCUAUCUUAAUUCUAUGCACCCUACAGCCGAAUCAUAAAUAUACGGGACUCAUCAUGGACACGUCAAUAGAAAUAUCAAAAGAGCUGCAAAAAUGACUAUACACUUCACAUGGAAAAGGCAAGGAAACAACCAACAAAAGGGUGAAUUUAACUGACAGAUCAGGCAAAGCGUUAUUAAGACAAUAGAAAUGAGCAACACAGGGAAUACAAGUAUGUAACCACUAACUAAACCACACAGAUACCAACUCCGUUUCAUCUGCUACAUCACACCAGAUAUCAAAAUGGAGUCUCAGGCUCUCAACACAGCAGCAUACACUACAUGACCAAUAUAGUUCAGAGACAGGUACAUUAACUAAAACGAGAGAAAAUAUUCAAGUCGUUCCCAAUACAAUAGACAAAUUGACGAUUAAACCAGCAAUAGUAACAGUAGAACAAACAACCAAAAAUUUAGAGCUUGUCCUCAAACUCAGAGAGAGGGGUCAUCUGUUCCUUGAGACCCUUCCUCUUGCGGAUAUCCAGCACCAGCUGAGCAGCCUGGGAGCCAGCCUCCAAAGGAUCAGAGCCCAUCAUGUCCCAAUGGUCAAAGACACACUGGGGGAACGCCUGACCAGAGGUUGCAGCCCUCAGUUGGCUGGAGAACCCAAACGACUCGAUGACAGGGAGGUAAGCCUUGAUGUUGUAGAGCGGGGUACCCGGCCUCUGCAUCUCCUCAAACACAUGCCCUCUCUUCUGGUUCAGAACACCGUAGAUACCACCAAGUGCAUUUUCUGGGGCCUGAAUCUCCACCAGGUACACUGGCUCCAGCAGCCUUGGCUUGGCCGUGAGCUGAGAAGCAUAGAUGACCCUCCUGGCAGUUGGGAUGACCUGGCCACCACCCCUGUGGAUAGCAUCAGCAUGAAGAACGACAUCACAGACCUCAAAGCAAAUUCCGCGCAUGUUCUCCUCAGCCAGUGCACCCUCCUUUGAUGCCCACUGGAAACCAGCCACGACAGAAUCCUUGAUUUCAUUGAGAUACUGCACUCCCUUACACAUAUCAACAACCAUGUUUGGGCCAGUGGUCUCAGGUCCAAAACACCAAAUCUUCUUGGCGAGAUCCUUGUCCCACCCAAACUCCUGAGAGAGGAUCUGGGAGCGCACCUUAGGAUCAUCACGUGGGCCAAUGCGGCCAUCAUCGAUGGCCUCAGCGAGACCCUCCUCCAAGGGGCGUGCUUCCAUGUACAGACGGUUGUGCUUGUUGGGAGACUUGCUCAUGACAGUACGGCAGGACUUCUCAAGAACGGUUUCCCGGAAGGACACAACAGGAGGGGAAACAAUAAUUUCAGCACCACCCAUGAAGUCCUCCUGCAGAUCCUUCAGGCAAAUCUCAAGAUGAAGCUCACCAGCUCCAGCAAUGAUAUGCUCACCAGACUCUUCGAUUGUACAGAGAACCAUAGGAUCAGACUUCGCCAGACGCUUCAAACCUUCGACUAGCUUGGGAAGGUCAGAGGCAACCUUGCACUGAACAGCAACACGCACAACAGGGGAGACAGAGAACUUCAUUGCUCUGAUCGGGCAUGCAUCAACCUCCUUCUCAUUAGUGAGUGUAGCGUUCUUCGUGAUGAACUGGUCCAGACCAACCAUAGCAACAGUGUUGCCACAAGGAACAUCCUCAACUGACUCUUGUUUCUUUCCCAUCCAGAUAACGGUACGCUGGACACUCUUCACAUACAGAUCCUUCUUCUGCCCAGGGACAUAGUUGGGACCCAUGAUCCGAACCUUCAUACCAGUAGCAACCUUCCCUGAGAAGACACGACCGAAGGCAAAGAACCUGCCCUUGUCGGAUGCUGGAAUCAUCUUCGAAACAUACAGCAUAAGAGGGCCCUCCGGAUCACAGUUUCUGAUGGCAGUUGCAUAGACAUCAUCAAGGGGCCCCUCAUACAAGUUCUCCACACGAUACUUUUGAGCCUUUGCCGGGGAAGGAAGGUGGAAUAUCAUCAUCUCGAGCAGUGCAGUGCUUGCUGGUAGCCACGUUUGCAUAACACGCUUCAUCAAAGCUUUGCCAAUCAAUUCCUUCUCAUCAGACUUCAUGGUAACAUUGAGCUUUUGCAGCAUGGGCCACAAUUUCUCCUUCUGGUCGUUCAUGCAGGUGUUGAUGAUUUGCUUGAUUGGCUCAUAGCAGAACUGAACAAAUCCUCUCUUGCAGGUAGGGGAGCCUGUGUUCUUGGUUGUCCAUUUCUUGGUGGCAGGGUCAAAGAAGU